GCCAGGGACGCGGGUGGUGCUGUGGGUUAAACCACAGAGCCUAGGACUUGCCGAUCAGAAGGUCGGCGGUUCGAAUCCCCGCGACGGGGUGAGCUCCCGUUGCUCAGUCCCUGCUCCUGCCAACCUCGCAGUUCGAAAGCACGUCAAAGUGCAAGUAGAUAAAUAGGUACCACUCUGGUGGGAAGGUAAACGGUGUUUCUGUGCGCUGCUCUGGUUUGCCAGAAGUGGCUUAGUCAUGCUGGCCACAUGACCCGGAAACUGUACGCCGGCUCCCUUGGCCAAUAAAGCAAGAUGAGGGCCGCAACCCCAGAGUUGGUCACGACUGGACCUAAUGGUCAGGGGUCCCUUUACCUUUACCUACUCUUGCGCCUUGUGCUUUUCAAAGUGGGUGUGCUCUCCUCACAGAAGAUCCCGGGUUCAGACACUUUCCUCUUCAAUUCAGCAAUUCUCUCUUCUUCACAACUACUGAAAAAGUUCUGGUGUCUUUUGAAGCUGAUCUCCCUAGACCUGGGAGCUUUGCCCACCUGAAUACACAGCAUGUUCCCAGAAUUCCAAGCCACUGCUACCAAGAAACACCUCAGGAGAGAGAGGGGCAUGAAUGUGUGAAGCUGCCUUAUACCCAGGAAGAUGUUUUAUCCAUCUAGCACUCAUAAUUGCCUGCUCCAGAUAGCAGUGGUUCAGGAGACCUUUCCUGCCUGAAGAUGCCAUGGAUUAAACCUGGGAAACUAGCUCAGUGGUAGAGCACAUCCUAUGCAUGUAGAGAAGGUCGCGGGACCAGUCCUCUGCAUCUCCAUGUUGCACCGAGAAAGACUCCUGUGAAGCCCUGGAGAGCUGCUGCCAGUCAGUGUAGACACCACUGAGCUAGACAGAGCCUGACUUGGUGCAAGGCAGCUUUUAAUGUUCCUAAUUGUGCAUGGCAAGCUGGUAUCCUGUAUGGGGUCUCCUUAACUUUACAUGUGGUCUACAGUGGUACCUCGGGUUAAGAACUUAAUUCGUUCUGGAGGUCCAUUUUUAACCUGAAACUGUUCUUAACCUGAGGUACCACUUUAGCUAAUGGGGCCUCCUGCUGCCACCGCGUGAUUUCUGUUCUCAUCCUGAAGCAAAGUUCUUAACUCGAGGUACUACAGUCAUACCUCUUGUUACCAGAAAGGGUUAGUUCUGGGUUUCGCUGCUCGCGCAUGCGCAGACGUGCAAAAUGACAUCACGCACAUGUGCAGAAGCGGCAAAUCACGACCGGUGCGCAGAUUCGCAGACGCGGGUUGCUUUUCUUUCAGGUUGCGAACGGGGCUCCAGAACGGAUCCCAUUUGCAACCAGAGGUACCACUGUAUUUCUGGGUUAGUGGAGUCUGUAACCUGAAGCGUCCGUAACCUGAAGCGUCUGUAACCCGAGGUACCACUGUAUUUCUGAGCGGUCGUAGCUGUCCAAGGUCUCCAGCAGAGCUCCUUCCUAUUACCUACUACCCAUGAUCGUUUUGCCCAUGGAGAUACUGGGAACUGAAGUGGGAACCUUCUGCCUUGGGUAUAAUUCUAUCCUCCAGCCAUGGCAGCCGAUCUGUCUCCUCUAUUCUGGGUGCACUCCAUCCUAGCCAAGGUGCAGCAAGGCAAACUCAAUGGAGCACUGGCCAUGCAAUGGGGUGUGACCUUAGCACAAGUGUGAUGUUGAGAAGGUGGCAAUAGGGGUCCCAGUGAUGGGAGGAAAGCAUUCCUCUUUAUGCAUGCAGUGGGGAGGGGGAGAGGAAAGAUGAAAAUUACAGCAAGGCGCCUCCCUGUUCCUUCCGCGUGCCAUUCAGAGAGCUGUUAGUUUGAUGGAAUAGCAAUUGAAGAGGAAGGAUCCCUGUAGGGCAUUGACACGCUAGUGGCUCUAUAUUCAGAACUGCACAGCCCACAUUUCAGCACAGGCUCCUGAGCAGCCAUUCAUUUACCAGCCCAGCAACUGAUACUUGUUGUCCCUUAGGGGUGGAAAAUCCAAUUUCACUCAUUUCUAGAAGCAGAUGGAACCAAAAUAUGCAUGAAAUUCCCAUCUACUCAUCACCCCGACUUGCCUUGUAUGGACCCUGGAGGGGAGCGAGAUGCAGGACUAGAAAGUACUGCUGCCUUCCAUCACUUCCUAGUAGCUGCCGUUACCUCUGGGAUACAAAAUUUCAUAAAAGUUUUGAAGAUGGGGGAAAUAUGUAAGAAGUUGCCAUGCUCACAAUUGAAAUGGCCCAUCUAUCUUCGUAAUGUGUUGACUGUCCGUGGUUUACAGUCAAUAGCAAGAGACAUAUUAGAUGAGCCGCUGUCUGCACUUAGGUGAGAUCUCACAGCAAUCUUGUCAGCGGCGACGUCACCAAAAGCUUGUAAUUAAAUUAUUUGGAAUAUGGUCUUAUCUGGUGCAUAAUGCAUGGAGGCCUUCCAAAUCGAGCCUCAUUUCCUGGGAAAGUUCUUCAGCUCAGAAUGUGAAAUGAGAUUAAAUGAAAUGCCUCCAUUCAAUUGUCGGCAGAGAUGUUGCCAAUGUUUGUAACUGCCUGGUUUGGAAUGCAACUUUUGUCCAGUUCAUAAUGCUUGGAUGUACCGUAUUUUUCGCUCUAUAAGACGCUCCAGACCACAAGACACACCUAGUUUUUCGAUGAGGAAAACAAGGAAAAAAAUAUUCUGAAUCUCAGAAGCCAGAACAGCAAGAGGGAUCACUGCGCAGUGAAAACAGCAAUCCCUCUUGCUGUUCUGGCUUCUGUGAUAGCUGCGCAGCCUGCAUUCGCUCCAUAAGACGCACACACAUUUCCCCUUACUUUUUAGGAGUGAAAAAGUGAGUCUUAUAGAGCAAAAAAUAAAGUAUUUUGAAUGGAGUGUCAUUUCCCUGUGAAGUUCCCAGCUUGGAAUGUUAAUUAAAUGAGAUCUUGCAAAUGCACCAUUCAAACUGCUUUGUAGGUUCAUGUGGAAAUGUAUGUUCAGGGUGAGAAGAUCUUCCCAUGAACUGCUGAGCAAAUGGAAUGAAAACUACAAGUGUGUCUCUGCUUUCAUUGUGGCUCAGGAUUGCAAUACCUCAAGGACUGCCUCUCCCCAUAUGAACCGACUUGGACGGUGUGAUCAUCAUCUGAGGCCCUUCAUUGUGUGCUUUCUCCAUGAGACGUCUGGAGGGCGGCAACACAAGAAUGGGCCUUUUCUGCAGUGGCUCCCCACUUGUGGAAUGCUGUCCCCAGGGAGACUCACUGUAAGGAGCUCGUCCUACACUCGAGUAGGACCCUGGCAGAGACACAUGCCCAACUGGCAUGUUCUCUCCCUCCUGGUCGAUCGUUUCGGAGCUUCAGAAGAUUUCUUCAGCCCGAACAUCACAGCGACCGAUGCCAACAGACAUUGGCACACUUAGGGAUCCGCAGAGUCUUUGCAGCUUGCGUGACAGACCUCAGCAACUCAGCAUUUUGGCUAAUCUGCUUUAUUUAAAUAUAAACACACACUGCAACAUGGCUCCCUCUCUCUCUAGCAUCAGACCGCAAAGAGAAAAAGAACAGAGGACAAUAGUCCCACUGCACAAAACACAGUAACACAAACAUUCUGUCUCCAUCACUUCCCACUCUGUGGAGUCAAAACAUACACCAUCAUGUAAUAGACAAAAAUCCCAUGACUGCAGUCAUGGAGCAGGAAUUCUAACACUUCAUGGCAUAUCUUUAGGUGCCAGGCAAAAACAUUUCUCAUCUCCCAGGCCUUUGGCUAAUUAAACUCUCUAUGGCCUUUUAAACUGCAGGGGGUUUUUGUUUUUGUUUGUUAUUGUGGAAUGCAUUUUUGUGUUUUUAUGUUGCAUACUGCCCUGUAAUCUUUGGAUUACAGCCUAUAAAACGACAAAAAGUUGCAUGCUUAAGCAUCUAAUCUGCCUCCCUUGCCCAUUUCCCCUGGGAAUUCUCCUACUUAAAUCAGAAGUCAUGGCAAAUGGAAUAUAGGCAUUCCUGGGGGAGAAAUUCAAUUCAGUUUGCAUUUAAAAGUGAACCUACCUAAUUUGCACUUCCUGAAACAACACCCAAACUGAAACUCAGGCAUCCUCCUGACUUUACACUUCUCCAGAUUUUGCAGUACAGUUCUCCAGCCAAGUAAUAUGAACAAAGAUGCAUAUAUUCAGGGAAUACAGUAUACAUGAAAAUGUAUAUAUUAGUGAAAGAUAACAUCAAAAUUGCAUUAUAGUAAGGGAAAUGGCUUGCAAAGAUGUGUACAUUAGGCAAAACUGUGUACAGUAGGAAAAAUUCCCACUAAAAUGCUGACAAUUUUUUAUGAAGACUUUAAAAAAAAACCAGUUUGCAAACUGAUGUGGAAAUACAGAGAACUUAGGAUAGGAAAAAUGAGAAAUGGAGAAGAACAAAAAGUGGCAGAUUCACCCAUCCCUAAAUAUAGAGAACUUGCAAAACAAUUAAUAAUAAUAAUAAUAAUAAAUUUUAUUUAUAUCCCGCCCUCCCCAGCCAAAGCCAGGCUCAGGGCGGCUAACAACAAACAAAUAAUCAAACAAUCAAAUAAUCAACAUUCUAAAACAUUUCAUUAUAAAAUUAAUUAAAAUCAAAUUAAUGGCAACCGUUAAGCAAAGUUCUGUGCAGGUUGCCGGAGGUGGGAGUCAGGCUGGGCCCUGACCAAAGGCCUGGUGGAACAACUCUGUCUUGCAGGCCCUGCGGAAAGAUGUCAGGUCCCGCAGGGCCCUAGUCUCUUGUGACAGAGCGUUCCACCAGAUUGGAGCCGCAGCCGAGAAAGCCCUGGCUCUAGUUGAGGCCAGCCUAACCUCUCUGAGGCCUGGGACCUUCAGGAUGUUUUUAUUUGCAGACCGUAGGUUCCUCUGUGGGGCAUACCAGGAGAGGCGGUCCCGUAGGUACGAGGGUCCUAGGCCGUAUAGGGCUUUAAAGGUUAAAACCAGCACCUUAAACCUGAUCCUGUACUCCACCGGGAGCCAGUGCAGCUGGUAUAGUACCGGAUGAAUGUGAUCUCGCAGCGAAGACCCCAUAAGGAGUCUCGCCGCGGCAUUCUGCACCCGCUGGAGUUUCUGGGUCAGUCUCAAGGGCAGCCCCACGUAGAGCGAGUUACAAUAAUCCAGUCUGGAGGUGACCGUCGCGUGGAUCACAGUGGCUAGGUCAGGGCGAGAGAGAUAAGGGGCCAACUGCUUAGCUUGGCGGAGAUGAAAAAAUGCCGCCUUUGUUAUAGCUGUAAUCUGCGCCUCCAUAGAGAGGGAGGUAUCGAAGAUUACACCCAAACUCUUAACGGACGGUGCUGGCACUAAUUGCACCCCCGCAAGAGAUGGGAGUUGCCCCCCCAAUCCCAUAUCGUCCCGUCCCAGCCAGAGGACCUCUGUCUUCGAAGGAUUUAACUUCAACCGGCUUCCACGUAACCAUCCAGCCACAGCUUCCAAACAUCUGGUCAGUGUGUCUGGGGCCGAGUCAGGAUGGCCAUCCAUCAACAGAUAGAGUUGGGUGUCAUCGGCAUACUGAUGGCAACCCAGCCCAAAAGGGGAUGUCAGGUGGAAACCAUUCAUCCCUACAGGUAACCAGCUGACCAAAAGUUCCCCCCACCUCCCUUGAUUCUUCUUCAUUGGCAAGGAUCAUCAGCUGCAUUCACCUCACACAGCAUGCCAGAGUAGCGAGGGACCGUCAGGGGAGUUGGAAAAGUAGGGAAUGGAAUAAUAGCAGCCUGGAACAAAGUCGGCGCUGAUCUAUAACUGCCCUUCUCUGCUUGACUCAGACGUGAGCAACCCACUGUGAAGACUCAGCUGUGCAGAGGAGAAUCUAUGCUUCACUCGUCGCCUCUUCAACCUCAGCCGAAGUUUAAAAACACAAACACAUCUUCGGCAGUGUCUGACAUGUGUCAGCGUCGGCCUCUGUCCCUUUGUUCGAGUCCCGUGUGGGUAGCCUCCGUUGCGAUUCUUAAUGCAACCAUGAAAACACAAUCCUGCCCAUCAGCAGUUCUGCAUCUUGUACAUGACCUGCAUGGUGACAACCUUCUCCCUGCCACACAUCAUGGUGUUCUGGAAAACUUGCUUGCUCUAAAUACAUGCCAGUGCACUCGUUAUUAUAUAUAUACCAUACGUACGCUGGUAUUGUGGUACAUCUUCAUCCUUGUACAAUGGACCCAGCGAUGUAGGUAGCAUUGCGUUUUCUUGAAAUGGCCUGCACCAGAACAUGAGAAACAGGCUCCAUUUUUCAAUAAAAAUGUUGUUUCAUUGCCUGCCCUUUCCAACCAUAUAAGCCACACCCUUAAAAUCCGCUCUUCUGAUGUUGGGUGUUCUUGUUCCAACCCCCAGUUUGCAUCAAUUGUCACCUGUGUCACCAUCAAGAGGUGCAUUCUCAUUUCUCUCUAUUCAGAUAGGACUAGGUCUUUAACACAGCCAAAUAAUAGAAUUGAUUGAUCUAAUGGCAGCUUACGUCCUGUUAUUAUUUCAGUGUUGUUUAAUAUCCUUGUUCAAAAGGUUCUUAUCUUAGGGCAAACCCCCACUCCCACCAAGGACCUAUGUCUUUGCUUAUUGCUAUACACUUCCAUCAUUCUUGCAAGCCAUUCAUAGAAUCCUAGAAUUGUAGAGUUGGAAGGGACCACGAGGGUCAUCUAGUCCAACCCCUCGUGAUGCAGGAAUCUUUUGCCAAAGGUGGGGCUCGAACCCACAACCCUGAGAUUUAGAGUCUCGUGCUCUACCAACUGAGCUAUCUAGCACGCAAGGACAAUAUGGAAAAGGCAGCUGUGUCAUAAAACUGAUGUAGCAACCACUGCAGGAUUGCAGCACUUAUGAGUGGGCAGAAGAGGAGCAAAAAAGGCAUGGUGUGAUGGCCUGGGAAUCUGAUUCAGAAGCUGAACCUGAGGAGUCCCAGCCUGCACAGGAGUCCCCGCCUCCAGGGCCGGCUGAGCUGGGGCAGGGGCUUGAAUCUGAAGGGCCUGCACCUGUGCCGGAAGCUUAGGAGCAGACACCAGAUGUAUCCACUCUAGCUCCAGAGGUGACUGAGGACCCAUUGCCUGCAGGUGCUCCUCUCCCAGCCCUGUCAGGGGAAGGUGAAGCUGCCCCUGCGUCCAUUAACCCUCCAGCCUCUCCUGAGCUGCAGAGGCUCAGGGCAGAGAGGCGGAGGGAACUAAGUUCUCUCAGGAGGAGUGCUCGCCUUAAGGCCAGGAGAGGCGGGUCACCUGUGGGCCAGGACUGCCCCUGGCCUCAGAGGAGAUAAAGGCCAGUCAGCCCAGUCCCAAGUUGUGGGAGCAACGUCGCUGGAAAUCGGUUUCUGCCAGCACCCAGACCUGUUCUUCCGGAGUUCCCGACCAUGCCUGCCUUCUUGCUUUGGACCCCACUUCGCCCUUGGUGGACAGUCUCCAGACCCUCGACCCAGGACCGGACUCUGAACACGCCUCUCGGUAACCCCCCCCCCCCCCGGUUCCAGCACACAUGGCAAUUCUCAUCUUUUUAUUGAUGUUUCCAAGGAUUUGGGCCCCAAAUAUCUGCAAGAUGCCUCCUCCCCCAUGUUUUGGUUGGGAUGCUAUGAUCUGCACGGCAGGCUCUUCUUAUGGUGCCAUCGCCCUUGGAGGGGUGAGGACCUGCAUGAAGAGAGCCUUCUCUGUAAUGACCUCCCAAAUCGUAGAGCUGCCACAGGCCUCUGCUCAGAUUUAAAUGGCUACUGAAGUAGCAUGUCUUCCCCGUAGCCUUCGGCAGCUGGGGUCCUAUUGUUAGUGGCCUCCCACAUAUGAUUUGAUCUGUUGAUAUGCAUUUACUGCAGGAGUCAUGGAAUCGUAGAAUAGUAAAGUUGGAACGGAUAUCAAGGGUCGCCUGGUCCAACCCCCUACAAGGCAGAAAUCAUAGCUAUCCCAGCCAGAUGGCCUUCCAAACUCUGUUUUUAAAAAUCUCUAAUGCAAGAGAGCCCACAAACUUCUGAGGUCGUCCAUUCCACUGUUGAACAACCUUUUUCAGCUAUUGGGCACAUUUCAAAUUUGGAGAAAGUGACAGAGGCACCAGUUGCAAAUGUCUGCCAUGGAGGGAGCAUGGCAUAAUACAAAAUGGCUGCCAUGGCUUAUCACAAAAUGGCUGCCAUGGGGAUUGUGGCGUAACACAAAAUUAGAGAAACAACCACCCCUGACAUCCUUAUGCUUACCAAGGGAAGUCAGCUAUGUCCUACUGGUCCUGAUUAUACAGACAUACCUGCAACCCUAACAAAUUUCUACUCCAUCCCAAAUCUCAAGUAGUUUUAUGAAUUUUAUGAAUUUAAGUCCUGUUCUCACCCACUCUACUCCCUACAACCCCUACCAGUUCCAUUCCAUUCAUUUUGCAAUGUGAGAGAGCUAUUGUUUAGGGCUUGGUGGACAGUCCCCCGCCCGCCGGCCUCUCCUGCUAAGAAAUGUGAUUGCUAGUCCACAAAUGUGUUUGUGAAAAUCAGUGUACUUUCUAUCAAAAGCUGACCUCUGCAUUUUUUGUUGUAUUACAUGUACUGGAUCUGCAGAGUAACAGAAAUUGAUUCAUUUGUCUAGGGAGUCUGCCUGCCAGUCACCAACAGAUUCCUCCUUUUUCUUCUAAACAAGUGAAAGAAGACUCAUGGUUCAAUUAUCACAUUUUGCACCUCAUCUGUGUAGUCAUGGGCCAUACCCUCCAACAUGGUGAGGCCGAAAAAUGGGACGCUUGUCUUCCUGGCAAGUCAAAUGACCUGAACGAGAGCACAGAGAGCUCCGUGCUCUCAUGCAAGGUCGUGAUCUUGCACGUUUUGGGGUGCCAUGCUGAGUGCCCCAAAAUGGGAUGUCCCGGUUUUAUCAAGGCAGUUGAGGAGUGUGAUGGGGCCUUGUAUUCUUAUGAGGGCCAUCAUUUCCAUGGUGUUCCAAAGAAGUCAAUGUUGAUGACUGCUGGACCAAUGUGAAUGCCAAAUAUAGUGUUGGCCAGGGCUGGGGAACCUGCGGCCCUCCAGAUACCGUUGGACUGCAACUCUCAUCAUCCUGACCAUUGAGCCAUGCUGGCUGGGGCUGAUGAGAGUUGAAGCCCAACAAUAUCUAGAGUGCCUGCAGACUAGACACUUGCUUAAUACAUAGCAAUCCACCUGCUGUGCGUCCAUCUGCCAUGUCCCAUCCUCCUGUCCUAAGAGUCCUCAUAAUGGAGUAGCUGUCAAAAGAACUGUGAUUCUGGCCUUUUGAUUCUAGGUAAAAAAAGGGGCGGAGGCUACUAUUUACAUGCAUCAUCAGAUAUAAGUCUCAGUAUUUAGGGAUAUUGGGUGGCAUGCAUUCAUUUCAAUGGAUCUACUUAAUUUCCAGCCUCUGUAUUUGGCCCUCAGUACUCUCCCUUGGCCACACCCCUUCUCUCUAAGUCACCCCCCUCACCACUCUUCCUUUGUACCCUCCUGAAGUAUUUUUGCCUGAUGGGAAUGUCUCUUUGAACUCUGAUAAUGCUUCUUAGUUGAGGGAUGCAUGAGUCAAUCAGCUGUCGGAUGGCAGAGGAUCCAACCCCCAUGGCAGUUUGCCAGGAAUGGAUAAGACAAGGAAAAGUCCUUACCUACUGCUUUUUAUUCAAUAUUCACAGAGAGGCUUGGAAAUGCAGCCUCUUGGAAUACAGUUAUACCUCGUGUUGCGUUUGCUUCAGGUUGAGCGUUUUCAGGUUGCGUCCCGUGGCGACCUGGAAGUACCGGAAAGGGUUACUUCUGGGUUUCGCCUCUGCCCAGUCCCUGACAUCAGCACUGGUUGCUCUGCCACCUUCUGGCCCCACCCACCAUGGACAUGUGAUCCCUGAAAUGUUGCCCAGAAGGGAAUAUGGCUCUCAGGCUGAAAAAGUUUCCCCAUCUACUGCCAUGAGGUCCUCUUGCAGUUGUGGGAAGCUUCUGGUGUGAGGGAAGAGGCUGUUUUCUUCGGGGAGGGGGGCAAGUUGACUGCUGCAAGUAGACCCCAGAGAGGCAUGUUAAGGACACCUCAACCUUAAUGAGCCUGUACAGUCUCAGCCAGAUCAAUGCACCCAAGAAAACUGGCUAGCACUUCUCUUCCCCUGCCCUGUUAUUACAGAUCCCCCUUUUGUUGUGACAGAUUUGCAAUUCAUGCAUAGGAAAAUGGGAAGCUGUUUUACACUGAGUCAGAUUAUUGGUCCGCCUAGUUCAGCAUUGUCUACACUGACUGGCAGCAGCUCUCCAAGGAUUCAGGCAGGAACUGUUUCUUUGAUAGAACCCAGUGUUGUACAUCCAGGACUGCCUGUGUGUCCAGCCAAUGCUCUGCCACUGAGCUAUGGCUCUUCCCUGAAUGGAAAGCAUUGCACCAAAGCUAGAUUGGCUAGAUCUUCAGAUGGUAGCAGAUGCAGCCUUUUGCAUGAACCUCACACUGUAGCAUGAAUAGGAAGAAACAGGAGCUACCUGACACUUCCUGGGCAAGGAUGAUUCAUGUUUCUCUGCUACCUGGUCAAGGUCCAGAGGACUCCCGUCAGCUAAAUUAUCACACUGUCACUUUAAUAUUUUGCCAUCUGCUAAAUGAAAGUUCAGAGCGCCUGUUGGGUCUCAUAAAGGAUCUUAUUUAUUGUAUUACACAUGGCAACAGCUGCUGCAAGACUCGGCUAAACUUUGCUCCCUAAUUAAACAAACAAAUACAAUGGUUUCAGAACACAGCUUAAUCUCGGUUAGCUAGAUAAAAAGGGGGUAAGGAUUAAAAACAGGAUUGCAGGGUUUAGUCAAUUAACUGGUGAGAUUAAGCACACAUUCAACACGGGUGCCCCCAAUUAAUCAGGAAACAGUUUUUUAAUAAAAUAAAAUUAUUUUUAAUACAAUUAUGUCAUGUAUGAAACACCAUCCAUCAGCUGCUUCAGAUGUCUUGAAACUACAUAUCUAUUUGCUCAGGUUUUCCCUGACCCACCCAGGGAAUCUUGUAGUCACUGAAUUUCUGUCUCUGUUUCAAAAAAAUACUGAUUUACUGUUUUUAGGUUUGCAUCACUGUUUGUUUUUGCAUGCUAUUUUCAUCUCCAACAAGAUCUGAAGUAUAGACUGUGGCUCUACAUGCCCCCUUCUGAUACAAUUCAAGACCUGAUAUGGCACUUCAGAGCAGCCUUGAUCUGACUCAGUUCAGAUGCAUCCCAGACCUGGGCCCUGAACUGAUUUGGGGGCUUCUCACUGUGUUGGUGCUAUAUGGUGCUGGAGGAGACUCUUGAGAGUCCCAUGGACUGCAAGAAGAUCAAACCUAUCCAUUCUGAAGGAAACCAGCCCUGAGUGCUCACUGGAAGGACAGAUCCUGAAGCUGAGGCUCCAAUACUUUGGCCACCUCAUGAGAAGAGAAGACUCCCUGGAAAACACCCUGAUGCUGGGAAAGAUGGAGGGCACAAGGAGAAGGGGAUGACAGAGGACGAGAUGGUUGGACAGUGUUCUUGAAGCUACCAACAUGAGUUUGACCAAACUGCGGGAGGCAGUGGAAGACAGGAGUGCCUGGCAUGCUCUGGUCCAUGGGGUCACGAAGAGUCGGACACGACUAAACGACUAAACAGCAACAACACUGUAUUUACUUAAGGUUUAAAAUUACACACAUGGUCAGGGUGGUGGUGCUGCCAGACAGUCCCUUUCUGGCUGUCCCAGAUCAUUCCAGGUGGACCCACUUCAACCCAGGUGGACCCAGGAGUACCUCAACUUUAUCCAGCUGAAUCAUGGGCUGAUGCAAACCGGUGCCCAUUUUGGUUCCUGAUUCAGGAGUCGGCCAGAUCAGUCACAUCCCUACAUCCCACCCCCACCAACCUUAAAAGGCCUUUAAACAAACAAACAAACAAACAAACAAACAAACAAACAGAGCUUGAACACAGGCAAGCAAAGCCAUGUCACAAUUACUUGGGGCCAUGUGUCACGGGUGUGUAACAAAACUCCAAACCAGCUAAUUUCAUUAUUCUAAUGGGCGCCUGUCUCCCAUUCAUUAGACUGACAUAUGACUAGUCAUUAGUAACAGUUCAUUUCCAGAGCCAGGGCGAAUAAAAGGUUGAUUAAAAAUUAACGAGCCCCAACCCCAGGCAGCACAUUGCCACAUUUCUCGAAGUGAACUUGGCAUCGUUGGGCCUAAAUGAGAAUGAGAUGCGAUGGCAGGGUUCAGAAGCUGGCGCCCGGGGGCAUUUUGUCUGGUGUUUCUCGAGUGCGCAUCUUGCCAUGAAUCGGGUACCACCCUCUCCCAUUGCUCCCAAAGACAAAUUACUGGAUAACAAUGGCUAUUAAUAAUUAAAUGGCAAUGUUGCAUUUUUGAUGACUGAGCUCUAGGAAUCAGACUGGAAUGCUGACAGUGGUUUUCCUUUUCCUCCCCAUAAUGCAAAGGAAUGAAAAACUGUCCUCCUAAGCUCAAUCAAUUAAUAUCACCAGCGCUUACUACUGUGGGUAUAACUUGGGCUAUAAUUCUGCUGGACCUCAACUCCCCCUCCCCCUAUUUGUCACAGUGUUGUUAAAUAUGCAUACAUUUUAUCGUUGCACCUGAGAUGUGUAGAUAAUAACCUAUAUCAUUAGGCUCUUGUAAUUCACAGAGGUUGGGUUCCGGAGUUUAUUGCUGGGUUGACAUUGCAGUUAAUUGGACACUGCUGCUUAUUAUGUAGCACUCGUUAUGCCUUAUGUACUAUUGCGUCUCUAGCAUACAUUUCGGAAAGCAGGUUGUCCAUCUGUCUGUCUGUUUUCCAUAGGCUUGUGUGCCACUCAAGAUAUUUUCACCAAAUUGGUGCGAGGAUUGCGUGGCUAGGCCCCUCCCCCAUGUGAAAUGAAGACACUGGACACGUUAUUUAAGGUUAAUGGGCAUAAAUAGGCCACAACUUUAUUGAUUACAGAAAUGAAUGGUAUUGGCCUUAGGCAUUGGCUCCUAACAACUACCCGGCACCCAGACCGGGAAGGGUUAACCACAAACCGUGGGAGUCCUGUUGAAGUACGCCAACUAGGAUCCCACGGGUGUCACCGCUCGGGGGCGUGCCGGGGGCCCUCACCUCCCCAGGUUUCGGACAAGGCAACGCCCCACCGGAGUCCUUUACCGGACUACCCUUUUCAUGGGGGAAGGUGAUGGCGCUUCCUUCCCCCCCGCUCAUUUGCAUAACAAUGAACCCCUGCCAAUGCCUAACCGCCAAAUACCGAUGAAGUUGUGACGAUUGCUACGAGGUAGGCGAAAAAACCAACAGGCUGAAGAAGAGCCAACUUGGAAAAAUUCCUACCAGGCCCCAUACGGCGACCAACCGAGGUCCAUAGCAAGGUCGUAGCUGUCUAACCUAAGGGUGGGCGGGAUGGGAAAAAACCUGCUCCAGCUGGCGAAGGGAAAGAGGGCGGUCCCCGGGCAUGCCUGGCCUUAAGUAGCCCAGGCCACGCCUCCCCAGCCCGCCGAUUGGCGGGUUGGAUCGCAGGCACGCCCGGGGAUUCCCCUGGUCUCGCGGGGGCAAAAGCCCGCCCCCGCGCGUGUGGGAGGGGGUCGCCCGCAACCCCCUCUCCUCGCUAGUUCGGAAAUGGCUUUCCCAAACAGGGAUGGUGGUCUCCGUUAAUGUUUGGAUCACAUUUUGAUUCAAAAUAGUGGACCGAAAUAUGACUUGGCCAUGACUUCACCCAAUUUUUGGCAUGACGGAUCCAAACACACAAAUUGAACUCUCCAUUUAAAAUUGCACCACAAUAUAUUUUUGCUUCUACAGAUUUUUGGGCAAUUCCCCACUAGUCAUCUAAUAUUAUGUAUUGCUUAUUAGUAUGAAUUGUAUGCAUAUAACUAUUUUAACUGUUAUGUUUUGUAUUUGCAGUAUAUUGUAUGUUGCUGUGUAUCAUAAUAUUAUAGAUUGUAGGUCACACUGAGACGCUUUUUUGGAGGAAGAAACCAAUUAAUAAUGAUAAUAAUAAGUAGUAGUAAACUGCCCUGUAGAAGUUUGACAAAGGGUAAUAUAUAAUCAUGGGUUGUAUACAACUUAAUGGACCCAACAUGCUUAUUAUUUGAAAUCUUUAAGGUAAUAUUUUAGUUUUCUGUUAAUUAUGUUGCUUUGACUGUAUACUCUAUAUUUGACUUUCUUCAGAUUAUUUUAUUGAUGUUUUAUUGAUGUUUUAAUAUUCUGUAAACCACUUUGAGAUUUUUCUUAAAAAUAUAAAGCGGUAUAGAAAUUAAAUAAAUAAAAUUUCAAUGGGAUUACUCUGAGUAGGACUACCAUUGGCACAAUAUAGCAACAGCCUGGCAGUUUGCUUUAUUUUGAAAUCUACACCUUUUCACUGAGGUCAAGCAAAACGAAAACUUACUGUGCACAGAAGCUUGGAGCACUCUGAGAAUUGUUCCUAGGCAAUUCCAAGCUUUGCAACACUAAAAAGACGGUGUCUUAAAUAACUCUGACUGCCAAAAGAGAGAUUUAUUUAAGGCAAAAAUGACUUACCAGACAUUACUGGAAACACUUGAAAAAUGAAGAAAACUCUCUAUUGCCUUUGAGGAUUUAUUGAGUGGGGGUGCUAUAGCUAUAGUUUCAGGGUUGUUUUUUUAAAAAAACUUUAGCAAUGGGUUCUGUUUGCCUAUCUACAAAAGCUGUAACCUGAAAUAAAUGGCCUCAGCCAGGGUUAAACAGCUUCAUAGGUGCCAGGGCUGGUUCGGAGGUAACAGUCUGUGAUGAGCAAGGACCCAGAAGCUGUGUGACAAGUCAGCAGUCUGGGCUGAAGUCAGAGCAAGAGUGAAAGAGGAGGCAUCUGCCCUACUUGGAUUCCAAACUGGACUCACCUGAACUGACAGGGGCCAAGAUCUGCACUUGCCAAAACCAAUGCCUCUGGCCCUGCCCACCACUGGUAUGCUUCUGUCAUGGGCCAGGAGUCAGCUUCACCUGCUGAGCAGCAGCCUGAAGGAGUAGAAGGCAGAGUGACUCCACCUGCUGAUGAUCAGCCUUCUUGCUCCUGAUGAGAACCAAUUGGCUCCAGCCUCCUUAAGCAGCGUUUCCAGCUUCAGUCAGUUGCUGGAAACAACAUUCAUCACUCCUGGCCAGACCUUGCUGCUUCUCGCUUCUCGUAACCCUGGACCCUCUGCUUUCUUGACCCCCAGAUCAUCUGACUACACGAACUGAGAUAUUCCUGACCUUAUGACUGGACUGAACCUUGCACAUGGACUCUGCCUCCAAGCAAGCACCGUAUUUUUCGCUCUAUAGGACGCACUUUUCCCCCUCCAAAAAUUAAGGGGAAAUGUGUGUGCGUCCUAUGGAGCGAAUGCAGGCUCCUUGGCUUCAGUGAUAGCAACGCAAAGCCUCCAAAGCGCAGAGGGAGCGCUCCCUCCACGCUCCGGAGGCUUCACGUUGCUUUCGCAGAAGCCUGGAGAGCGAGAGGGGUCGGUGCGCACCAACCCCUCUCGCUCUCCAGGCUUCAGGGAUAGCCGCCUGAAGCCUUUGGAGCGCAGCGGGAACUCGCAUUGCACUCCAAAGGCUUCGGGUUCCUUUUGCUGAAGCCGGGAGAGCAAGACUCUCCUGGCUUCAGCAGAGAGGGAGAGCUGCGCAGCGCCCCUUCAGCGAAGCCUCCCGCUUCACUGAAGGGGCGCUGAGCAGAGAGGGGGAGAAAUAUUUUUUUGUUGUUCUCCCCCUCUAAAACAAGGUGUGUCCUAUGGUCGGGUGCAUCCUAUAGAGCGAAAAAUACGGUACUCCCCUGAGACUUGGCUGGCUGGCUGGCUACUCCCUCUGCCAUGACUGGCAGCACAGGACUACAACAGCUGCCCUUGCAAGGGUGGCCAGAAGGGCACAGGUCCCUUGAGUUAGAACAAGUUCCCCACCCCUGGUUUAAGACAAGGUGGAAGGAGGUUAGCAGGAUAAAAAUUGCAAAGCUCUCUUGCUGCUUUUUCACCCCCGUUCUCUAAUUAAAGAUUCUUCAAAUAUGCCUAAUUAGGUGUCAUUAAAGCUGAGUGUAAGAACAGUACAUGCAGCACAUUCAAAAUGCUGCUACCAUCCUUAGAAAAUCAAACUCACAAUGGCACAGUCUAGGAAAGGCCAAUUAGUAGAAGUAUUGGAAAAUCAUAACUCGGUUCUACACCUGUGCCAAAUUUCAUCAGGAGGAUCGUUUCCUGAGUUUCGAUUUUACGUGCUCAAUCCCCACAAUGCCACAGGAUAUCAAGGGCAACUUGGAGGAUGGAAAGUGAUGAUAGUUGCUACAGUGGCUUCAGGAGAAAAAGGGAAAAGUUGUGUUACUGCCGCUACUAAAUUUUAUAUAUGGAUGUCUUAUGAUGGCCUAUAUUUGUAAUGCCUAAUAAAGGUUUGGUGAAGUAAGCAAGCAAGCUAAUGAACAUAAGAGUUGUUAUGUAUUCAGUGGUCUGUGUUUGCCUGAACUUGAGUCUGGACUAAGGAUUCUGAGCCCUUGUGUUCUGAUUCAAUAUAUGAUGUCCAAUCAUAGAACAUUUCAGGAUUUGGCCCUCUGCCAUUGGCCCUUGAACUCUGAGACGUGAUUCGCAGCUUGGAAGUUUAGAAAGCCAAUCACGUUGGGAGUGGGAGUGACCCAGCCUUUCAAGAAUGUAUAUAAGCAGUUGCUUUUCCCCUGUUUCCCAGUUAUGUGGUUCAAUAAAAGUUCUUGCUGUUAUCGCUGUGUCUUGCUUCGUGGGAACCCACCUACACUUCACUGGUGACGAAGGUGGGAUGCUAGGCUAGGUAUGCAGUCCUGGCUAGCUUCCACAAGCUGAAAUCACUGCUGGGGAAAUGUCACGUCAGCUGAGCUGAAAUCACUGACUGCAGCCACAAGGCAGGUCACAUAGAGCAGACGUCAUGGCUACCCAGGGCCACAUCGAGGAAUUUGACACAAUGGUUAGAGGGAAAUGGGAUUCCUAUGCCAUCCGGCUUGAGUUCUUCCUCACAGCCAAUAGGGUGACUGACCCGGAACUGAAGUGGCUACGCUUCAAGGGUCCUGCUGCAUCAGGCCACUGGUCCAUAAUGUCCAUCACCCUAGUCUCACAGUGGCCAGUCAGAUGCCCCCAGAAGACUUGAGCACCACAGCAAUCUCCCCACCUGCAAUUCCCAGCAAUUGGUAUUCAGAGGUUCACUUCCUCUGACAGUGGAGCAUUUCUGAAGCACCUCAAAACCAGCUGGUGGUUGGCCACUUUGGAAACGCUGUGCUUUGUGUGAUGCUCAGGAAGCACUGUCCAUAGAGCAGAGCAAGCACUUUGAACUGCCUUCCUGCUUAGCCCAGCAGGCCAACUUUGGCAGGUGUCUAUCAUCUGCCACCAGUUGAUUGACUGGUCCCACCCACCUGUUAAAGUUGGCCCGCAGGGUUUGAAGGGAGAGGUGUGAAUCUGACCAAAAAUGUCCCUCCCCCCCGCCUUACUCUGAUAACCCCAUUGCAGCAUCUACUACUGGGUGCCCCAGACACACCUUCCUGAAAACUUGUUUAUUUCUUAACUUUCCUGUCAGAAUUGUGGUUCAAAUGCCCACAAUUCCCCAACUGAAUGAUGUCACUGAAAAGGAUGUAAAAAGAACAGAAUGUUCCGUUGCUAUGGAGAUUAAGCUUGCUUCAUUCUGCUUCUGGUGACUCUGCAGCCAUAUAAUUAUUAUUUGGAUUUCAAAAUCUAUAGGUCUUUCCCAACGAAGCCCCACUGUUCAGGCCAUCUAUUUAUCCAAAGCAGUUCUUAAGAACCAUUCUCAAUUGACAGGCUGUGCUUUCGCUUGGCUACCCAAGGGCAAAAUUCAUGGACUCCCUGCUAAGCGCUAAAUAGUUGGUCUGCCACACUGGAUUCAGCUGAAGACCAAAGCCUUCAACCAAAUUUGGCUUCACAAUCAAUCCCUCUUUCCAGGGAACUCUGGGAAUUGAAUCUCUGUGAGAGGAGAAGGGGUCUCUUAACAACUCCCAGCAUCCUAGAAAACUACAGCUCCCAGAAUUCUUUGGGGAAAGCCAUGGCUGUUUAAAACGGUACAGGCAGAGGUGCAGUAGUCCAGGAUCAUAUGGGUUGAAGGCCAGUUACUAUUUCUGCCUCCAGAGUCCUAGAGCUGCCCAACCAGCAUGAAAGGGGAGCUUUUGAGCUACUGAAAAGAAGUCUUCUCACCCUUUGUGCUCAUUGUGUAGCCUUUCUAGGCCUUUUAAACCAUGGGUAGGAAAAUGUUGCACCCGAGCAGGGACGAAAAGGAGCCAAACAACACCAAGGGGUUAAAUCCAGAGAAAGAGUUUUUAUUCUGCCAACCCGGGUGGGCAGAGGAGCAAGUGUGAUAAGUCACAAAAAGCAUGCACGAGUUCACAGUCAUGUGCACAAGCAUAUAUACCCUUCCAGUUCCCUCCCCCUUUCUCCUCCUCCUUGAAGAGUCCUGCCCAUGAGUUCUUCUGAGCAUGAACAGAAAGCUGUCUUGGGACUAUUGGACUCUUGGCGCCCUUCCCAGGAAAGGGGGGGUGAGAGCCUUGCGUUCAGCAUGUUCAGAUGUGUUGCAACUGGAAUGAGAUAAGAUUCGUUUCUCAGGCCUGAGUAUUCUUGGCAAUGACAGAGCCUAUUCAUUAGCCUUUAAAAGUAACAUUUUGCCUAUGCACAGCAUCUUGUGAGAAUAAGCAGAGAAGAGCAGAGAAAAGCUGUUUUGGAUUUUUAGAAGACAAAAGGAAUUUUGGAUAGUUUUGAGGCCUGGGGUGAUUUCACAGACAGGAUUUGGGUAUACUGUCCCUUCAAUUGGAGCCAAUCAGAGUAAAAGAAAGUGAGUCAGUCCCUUGGGAUUGGCUCCUAGGGCCACUCUGGAGAAGGCGCGUGGGAAAACCACCCAAAAAGAGUUGCUCUGUACGUUCCAAAGCUAAGCAUUCAGGAACACUGACAACAUGAGGAGCUUCCGUUUCAGAAGAAUGGUGUGCAAGGUUCUGUUAUGUACAAUGGAACAUCAUAGAAGACAAAAGAAGAUGUUGCGACACUCCAAAUCAUUUGCCCAUGUAUGUGCACAGAAAACAGUAGAUCUAGCUGAAAGGCGACACGUGGAGAUCAGCGCUGAUUGUUGCAAUGCAUCCCUAAUGACUAUUGUUGUAUAAUUGUAAGAUUACUGCAUAAUCUUAGGAGUGUGGCUGUCAGGAGACUGUGGCUGUGAUUCUCAUGGAGGACCCCUGCACUUCUGAAUUUGCCACUACCCUACUGGGUAUGAUAGUGCUUUAGAUGCACAGUGCAGAUAGGGGCCACCAUCCCUGUUACUAAGCUCCAGCUCUGCACACCUUUCUGCUACUUAACCACCUCACUCGGCAGCAUUAACUUUCUCUCAGACGCUCAGCCGAUAAAUUUGCCUAACAGGCUGCAGAUGCCACAUGCAAAUCCUCAUCCGCCAUUUCCCCCGGUAACAGAAAACAACCAUGUGGUGCCGUUUGUGGGCCGUUUCGGGGUGUUUGCCGCCGUAUUUCAUUCUGAGAACAAAACCAUGCUGGAUUUUUAAAAAAUAAUAUCAUAAUAAAAAUUGCUCUCUGCGUCUCUGCUCUCUGCGUCUGCUUUCAACUGCCCCUGGCAGGUGUGUGCACGAUUCGCGAGCUCCGGGAAUUUCUUGUCGCUUCUCCUUAGCUGCUGUCAUCCCCCCCACCCCUCAGUAAUUUCCAAAAGGUAUUAGAAUAUUCAUAGCAGCCUCCAAACAGAUUAGGCGUAGGCAGUAAAUCAUAGGAGAUUAACUUGGCAAAACAUUUUUACCCUUUCGUGUGCAGCUGUUCACAUUUCUGAAGCUGAGGGAGAUGGUUCCAUUAUAACCUAAUGCCCAGGUGCCGUGCCAUCGCCAAGAGCAAAGGUGGUGGUGGGGGAGAACACAACUGAAAGCAAUGGGGGAGGCAACAAAAAGAGAGGUUUACUACUCCAGAGGCUUCCGGUUAGAAAAUGGCGUCUGAAGCAAGUCUCCUGUGAGCCUCAGCAGAGUGAGUAUGAGCUUUUAAAAAAUAAUAAAAAAUACUCCAGAACUAGAUGAACAGCAAACAAACCACCCUCCUGCCAACUAUAAUGUGGGGGGGUAGGGGCUAUUUAUCAGCCUGAGGGCCACAUUAGCUUCUGGGCAACCUUCGGAGGGCCACCUGCAAUGGAGGCUGCUCCAUUACGGCAAAUUUAUAACAUACAUGAUAUGGAGAAAGGUGGAUAGUGGAACAUUUCUCUCCUUCUCACAUAACGCCGGACCUCGUGGAAAUCCAGUGAAGCUGACUGUUGGAAGAUGUGGAACAGACAGAUUUAUGCAGCGCAUAAACUAUGGACCUCGCUACCAUGGGAGGUAAUAAUGACACCCAACUUGGGUAUCCUUAAAAGAGGAUUGGACAAAUACAUGGAGGGAAAGGCUAUUGAUGACUGUUAGUCAUGAUGGCUAAGCUCUGCCUCCACAGUCAGAGGCAGUAAUUAUUAUUAUUAUUAUUAUUAUUAUUAUUAUUAUUAUUAUUUAUACCCCGCCCAUCUGGCUGGGCUUCCCCAGCCACUCUGGGCGGCUUCCAACAAAAGAUUAAAAUACAGUAAUCCAUCAAACAUUAAAAGCUUCCCUAAACAGGGCUGCCUUCAGAUGUCUUCUAAAAGUCUGGUAGUUGUUGUUCUCUCUGACAUCUGGUGGGAGGGCAUUCCACAGGGCGGGUGCCACUACUGAGAAGGUCCUCUGCCUGGUUCCCUGUAACUUGGCUUCUCACAGUGAGGGAACCGCCAGAAGGCCCUCGGUGCUGGACCUCAGUGUCUGGGUAGAAUGAUGGGGGUGGAGACGCUCCUUCAGAUAUACUGGACUGAGGCAGUUUAGGGCUUUAAAGUUCAGCACCAACACUUUGAAUUCUGCUCAGAAACGUACUGGGAGCCUAUAUAGGUCUUUCAAGACCGGUGCUAUGUGGUCUCAGCCACUCCCAGUUGCUUCUGAAUACCAGUUGCUGGAAGUCACAGGCAAGUAGAGGGCUCUUGUGCUUGGGUCGUGAUCAGCAGUUUCCCACAAGCAACUGGGUGGUCACUGUGAGAACAGGAUGCUGGACUAGACAGGCCAUCGGCCUGAUCCAGCAGGGCUCUUCUUACAUUCUUAUGAACGCGUAGAGAACAUAUGGACAGACAACUUUCCCAAAUAUAUAAUAGAAGGAAAAGAGAAAUGUGAGCGCAAAGGGUUUUGUGCUUGCAUGGAAGCCCUUGGAUACAUGCGAGCAUAUUAGAAAACUUGCACAUUUGGGUGAUGCUGGUUUGGGAACUGACAGUGAUGAAGACGCAGGGCUUUUUUCCAACCAAAAGUGUGAGGCAUUCCACGCAGGCAAAGAAAAAGUAAGACAAGUUUCCAUGACAACAACUGAAGAAUUCUGCCUUCAUAAAGGGUAAGUUACUGCUUUUCAGAGUUGAGAUGUUGAAGGGAUUUACAUAAUGGUAGACUUGUGGGAGACAAUCAAGACCUCCUCUUUUCUCUGCAGUGUAGACAAUAUCUAGGGAACUCCUUUCCUUGACAGCAGCAAUAGAAGUAUCUGACACAUUCCAUUUCACAGCAACUUUCAUGAAAAUGUGUGAGCAUUUGUGGUCACCAGGGAGGAGACAAGCAGGGGGAAAUAUACUAGAUUACAGUGGUGGGGAAAAAUCUCCUUCUUCCUCUAGUACCUGCCUAAAAAGCAUUUGCAUAGUAUGUGUGUGGGGUUUUAAUCCCUAGAAAUGGACAGCAUUUUCUGUUCCACCCUGUAUUCCUUGCAUACAUGGUUUCCGUUCUGCUGCAGUUCAUCUUCACCAAUAGCUAUGCUAUUGUUCUCGCUGUCCACUAAGGCAAAAUUACAUAAUUUAUGUAAUCUGUUGUGUAAAAUAUGUAUGCUACAUUGUCGUUAUGUUAUUCCACACCAAACACAAUGCAAAUUGGCGGUGGGGUGCGUGGGUGUGGGUGGGUGUGUAAUCAGUUAUGUGAUUUCGAAAAUUCUGAAAAUGACAGUGGUUAAGGAUUCAAGCUUGGCCUUGCUGUUAUUAUUUUGAAGGAACAAUUAAGGAUCCUUUUGAAGGAGCAAUUAAAGAUCCUUUGUUUAAGCCAUUAAUAAUCCAUUUCCUGGUAGCAGCCCAGAUGGAUAUCAUUCUUAUGGAGAGGCAAUUGUUCGUUAACCAUGCAAAACUGGUCUGAAAAGGUUCAGAAGGUUGCGCUUGUAGACAAACAUAACACAACACUGCCGAGUAAUCAGAGGCAACACUAAGGGAGAUGAAUUCUAUGGUGACUGGUCUCCAUUUCUUUCAUUAAUUCCUCGCCAGAAGAACCUGGACCACAUUCUGUUCACUUUUCUUCUUGGAGAGGUAUGUUAUCCUGAACUUUAUCUCAACACUCCAGACUUUCUUUAUUUAGAUAUCACGUCACUAACUCUCUCCAAAAUUUGAAGAGUUGAAGUUUGGGAGCAAUAAAUUGAUCCACAGACAUAAUCCCUAGCAAAUGUAUUAUUCACUCUCCCAGAUUUCAGCUUUUUGCCUUUGACUCUUUGGCAAACAGCCGCCCUACCAAACCAGUACACAAGCUGAUAAGUCAUCUUAAUGAAUCCAUCACUGUGCAGAUGGCCUGCAGAAAUAAAUGCCAAUGGUACCAAAUCAUGUAGACUGAUGGAUGGUAUUUAAGAGCUUUAUAACUUACACUUUGGGGUGGUAAUUAGAUUCUCUCCACCCUGCACACUCUUAAUUAAGGAGAGUGGUUGGACAGUUUUUGUCACUUAACAAAAUCUUUCCCAAUUAAAAGAAAUCGCUAACAUUCUGCACUCAGAUUGGGAGAUGUUCUUAUUCCAAAUGCAAAGACUGAAAUGCAUAGUAGUAGUUCAUCUUAGGUGCUGAUUUGACUGCAUGGUGCUAGGCUAUCACAACUGUAUCGAAACAUGAACAUUAGGAUUCUAAUAUAUUUGGAUAAUAUUUCUAUAUACUACCAAGUCAUGUUCAAAGUCCUUGUACAGUGGUACCUCAGAUUACAGACGCUUCAGGUUACAGACUCCGCUAACCCAGAAAUAGUACUUUGGGUUAAGAACUUUGCUUCAGGAUGAGAACAGAAAUCGCGUGGUGGCAGUGGCAGCAGGAGGCCCCAUUAGCUAAAGUGGUACCUCGGGUUAAGAACAGUUUCAGGUUAAGAACGGACCUCCAGAACUAAUUAAGUUCUUAACCCGAGGUACCACUGUAUUCAUUUACAAAGCCCUGAACAACUUAAGGACUCCCCAAACACUUAUAUCCCAGCUCAGUUACAGAGAUCAUUUGCAAGAGCAUCAUUGGUCAUCCCCCAAGUUGGUGAGGUUCAUCUGAUGGUGACAUGACAUCAAGCCUUUCGUGCCAUCAACCCCGUCUCGUGGAAUGCUCUUCAGCACACCUUUGUUUUAAGCUUUAAAUGUCUACUGCAGACCCUUCCGUGCCACCAAGCUUAUGCAGGCAGUUAAGAAAAUAUUGUUCUGUAAAGGCUGAUGCUCAUAUCUCUUCAAUUUUCACAUGGUUUAUUUAUCACAGAAUCAUAGAAUUGUAGAGUUGGAAGUGACCCAAAGGGUCAAUGCAAUCCUUUAAACAUUAAUUACUUCUUCCCAGAGAACUCUGGGAAUUGUAGCUCUGUGGUGGGAAUAAGGGUCUCCUGACAGCUCUCUGCACCAUUAGCAAACUACAGUUCCCAGAAUUUGGGGUGGGGGUGGAGCAUGACUGUUUAAAGUAGUGUCAUGGUACACAAACCUACGUACCUACGGGACCGCCUCUCCCGGUAUGCCCCACGGAGAGCCUCAAGGUCCAUAAACAGCAACACCCUAGUGGUCCCGGGCCCUAAGGAAGUUCGAUUGGCUUCAGCCAGAGCCAGGGCCUUUUCAACUCUGGCUCCGGCCUGGUGGAACGCUCUGCCUCAUGAGACCAGGGCCCUGCAGGAUCUGAUUUCUUUCCGCAGGGCCUGUAAGACAGAGUUGUUCCGCCUGGCCUUUGGCUUGGAGCCAAUUUGAUUCCCUCCCCCUCUUUCUUUUUCCUUUUUCCUUUCUCCUCCUGUGAUGAAGUUGCAUUUUAAUAUUUUAAUGUUGUAUUUAAAUCUUGUUUUUAAGUUGUAUUCAUUCAACUUGUUUUUAUUAUUGCUUGUUAGCCGCCCUGAGCCCGGCCUUGGCUCAGGGAGGGCAGGGUAUAAAUAAAAAUUAUUAUUAUUAUUAUUAUUAUUAUUAUUAUUAUUAUUAUUAUUAUCAUUAUUAAACAUUUGGUGUGUAUGUGGCCAGAGUGAUCAAAACAGUUUUAAUUAAAACUGCUCUUACUUGCCUCUGGCACAUGGCAAGACUGUGUGGUAGCAAUAACAUCUUGUAGCGUUCUGAUAAAGUUAUUGCAGAGAAACCUUGUGGUAGCACCAUGCAGAAGACUUUUGCUAUUUAUGAUACCUGAUGAUCCCACAAGCUAAUCUGCUAGGGCUGUUUGGCCCAGGAUGUUAUGCCAUGAAGGAAAGGGAACUGAAAAAAGCAGCCGUGCUAGCUAUGACCGUCUAACCAGGGACUCUGAGUAUUCUUGCCGUCAAUUACUUGCUCCUGUGUGGAGAUGCCUUUUUGAAAUUCUCCUGGUGGCGACAUAAUUGUCGCAUGCUAUAAAUUGCAUCCCGCAAAGCACCUGCAAUAGUCACUGAAUGUGCUUUUAAAACAGACAAGCAAUCCCAAAGAGAAGCCAGAAGGAUGUAAUAACCAUACAGUAAAAAUGGUUUAUUGGAAGCACUGCAGCCUUUGCAAAUCAAAACAUGAGAUCAUAAAGGCAUUGGUGACAUGUCCAACUUGGGCAGGGCUGAACUAGCUGCAACCUGAAACUAUUAGCAUUCAGUGGAGUAAAGACAAAACAAUCUCAGGUUAAUUCAUGGCUCACAUUUCUCUUCAACCGCAUCAAGUAGUUUUUCUCUUCCCCACAGAGAAAAAAGAAGCGAACCAACAACAUUAAAAGGAAGCCAAACACAAAUAUCAUUGUGUUACUAAAGGGGUCAUAAGAGAGCUAUUCAUUUUCAUUUCAAAAAACAGGUGGAUGACAGAGGGCCAUUUAGCCAGGUGCAAUAAAGUACCGGUAAGUGGAGAUUAUGAUGUUGCACCAAAAGCCCACCACAUAAACAGCUCACUUUUAAGCAUAAGGUAUAAAUCAGAACACUCGACAAUAGAACAGAUACUUGCAAAUAAAUCCAGAGCUUUAAAAUGUGAAAGAAGUCACCGGAAAACAACAAUUUGUAGCCAACAUCAGUCCUACAUCAGAGUAGAUCCAGUGCAAUUAAUCAACAUUGUUAACAGGUUCGUUUAUUUCAGUGGGUCUGUUCCAAACAAUACUUAGAAUCAUGGAAUCAUAGAAUUGUGGAGUUGGAAAGGACCACAAGGGUCAUUGGCAACGUAGGAAUCUCUGCUAAGGUAUUCUUGACAGAUGGCCAUCCAACCUCUACUUAAAAACCUCCAUGAAAGGAGAGUCCACAACCUCCUGGUGGUCAAACAGCUCUGACCAUCAAAAAGUUCUUCCUGAUGUUUAGUCAGAAUCUCCUUUCUUGUAACUUGAAUCCAUUGGUUCAGAUCCUACUCUCUGGAGCAGGAGAAAACAAGCUUGCUCCAUCUUCCAUGUGACAGCCCUUGAGAUAUUUGAAGGUGGCUUUCAUAUCUCCUCUCAUUCUCCUCCCUUUAAGACUAAACAUGCCCAGCUCCCUAAACUAUUCCUCAUAAGGUUUAGUUUCCAGACACUUGAUCAUCUUGUUCACGCUCCUCUGCAACGUGUCAACAUCCUUCUUAAAUUAUGGCACCCAGAACUGGACACAGGACUCCAGCUGUAGUCUGACCAAGCAGUACUACUACUUCCCUUGAUCUGGACAAGGGAAUAAUGUCUGGAAUAGCAUUAGCCUUUUUGCUGCUGUAUCACACUGUUGACCUAUGUUAAGCUUGCAGCCUACUAAGACCCCUAGAUCCUUUUCACAUAUAAGCAAGCCAAGUUUUCCCCAUCUGAUAUUUGUGCAGCUGGUUAUUCCUGCCUAAGUAUAGAAUGUUGCAUUUAUCCCUAUUGAAAUUAAUUAGUUAGUUUGGGCCCAGUUCUCCAAUCUGUUAAGGUCAUCUUGAAACCUGAUUCUGUCUUCUGUGGCUGCAUCUGCAAAUUUGAUGAGCAUCCCCACAAUUCCUUCAUCCAACUCAUUUAUAAAGACAAUGAACAACAAGUCCAGGACAGAACCCUGCAGCACCUCACUUGUCACUUUUCCCCAGUAUUAUAAGGAACCAUUUAUGAAUACUCUUUGGGUUCGGUCAGUCAACCAGCUACAAAUCCACCUAACAGUAACCUCAUCCAGCAGUCAACCAGCUACAAAUCCACCUAACAGUAACCUCAUCCAGCCCACAUUUUACCAGCUUCUCCACAAGAAUAUAAUGGGGGAUUUUGUCAAAAAAGCCUUACUGAAAUCAAGAUACACUACAUUCACAACAUUCCCCUGAUCCACUUAGCUUGUAAUGCUAUCAAAAAAGAAAUUAGAUUCAUCUGGCAUGACUUGUUUGUGAAACACAUGUGCUGGGUCUUAGUAAUCACAGCAUCCAACUGUUUAAUUAUCUUUUCUAGGACCUUUCCUGGUAUCAGUGUCAAGCCAACACCCACUUAGGCCUUCUUUUUCCCCCAUUUUUGAAGAUGAGGACAAGAUUUGCCUACCUCUGGUCCACAGGGACUCCAAGAAUUCUCAAAGAUUAUAGACAGAAGCUCUGAGGUUUGAAUUCAUUUAACGUAGCUACGUGUUCCCUCGUCUCCUCUUUUCCUUCUUGAGCUGCAGCUCCCUCCUUGCAUCAUUUAUUCUGUAAUCACCAGGUUGGUCACUGCUUUCCUCUGGGACAGAGGCAAAGUAGAUGCUGAGCAGUUCCACCUUCUCUCUGUCACCUACCCACAUCGCUCUGUCUUCUCCAUGAAGAGGACCCACUACUUACUACUACUUCCUCUUCUUUAUUAUUACUAGAUUUAAUCUCACUUGCAAGCCUGAGCUCAUUCUGACCUUAGACCUACCUGACAUUCUCCCUGCAAAUGUUAGCUACUCAUGUCUACUCUUCCUUCAUAACUUCUCCUUUCUUCCAUUUCUUAAACAUGCCCUUUUUAAAUCUCAGCUCAUCUUCCAGCUCCUUAUGAAGCCACACCGGGGGUUUUAUUUUAGAUGUCUCCCACUUUUAUUUUCUGUUGGAAUUGCCUGCAUUUGUGCCUUCACUAUUUCACCUUGAAGAAACUCCCAUCCAUUUUGGACUUCCAUCUCUUUGAUUAUUUCUAACCAUGAGAUCUUACCCAGUAGUUUCUUAAGCUUUUUGAAAUCAGCCUUCUUGAACUCCAGAGUGCAUGUCUGACUGCACUCAGCUUUCCCUUGCCCCUGUAUAAUGAAACCCAGAAGGACAUGAUCACUUCCUCCCAAGGUUCCCAGUACUUCCACUUGGUUGAUCAGUUCCUCCCAGGUCCAAGUGAGAUGAUUCAUCCCCUUGCUGCUUGUUACACCUGAUGGGAAAUGAAAUGGUCAGCAAGGCCCACAUGACUAACCAACAAGUCUAGAACCCUCACUGGGUGUAAAUAAAUAAAAGGUCUAGUUUUGUUCCACAAGUGCCUCCUCAUUUCUUUGAACAUCUGCUUGGGGGAUCCUUUACAUAAGUGAAACACCUGGCUGCACCUUUGAGACUAACCAAUUCAGGCUCCAGUCCUAUCUGGGAGCCAUUCCCAUGAAAUAUAGUGUGGUUUACUUCUGAAUAAUGUAUGGUUAUUGGAACAUUAACCCACACUACAAAUUGUGGCAGCAAGGACUCCUUCUAAACCAAGGUUAGGCAUUUUUCACUUUGCUUAGGUAGGAAGUACUUAUACAGCUCCAAUGUUUUAGUGUCCACAUAUUUGCAAGGGAGGGGGAUGGAGGGAGACAGAACAACAUGGCCCCACUGGUGUUGCCUCCUUGGUCCCACUGAUGUGACCUUAUUGGCUCCACCUACCUGACCUCCUUGGCCAUAGGCCACCCCACCACAUCCAGGGCUUACCAGCUGCUACUGGUAUUUUUGUAUGUUAUGUUCAGAAACAUAUUUUUCACACACUUUACCCUAGAAUAUCCAUUGCUUGGCCGGAGAACUGCCAUUUUGCCACACUAGGUGGAAGACGGCUGUGUUUCAGUUGUCAUUGCUUUGGAAAUUGUGCAUCGGGUAAUUUGCUCUUAAACACAACCUGAAUUGAACUUCUCCCCCUUCCCUGGUGCUAAAAGAGAUCUUCCAGAAGUUAAAAGAGAUGAUUGGAAAUGGAAGCUUCUCUUGGGGAAAAAUGAAACUAGGAAACAAGCCCAUAUUCCUUAUGCAUAUUCCCCCCCCCCUUUCAUUGUUUCAAUGCCCAUACAUCAAUAUUUUUCAGUGGCAGAUUCAAGCAUUUGAGGACAGAAGUUUCCAGACAAGAACAUUGUGCAAAGGGUGCCCAUGUGUCAGUCAUCUGGACUAUGAUGCCCACGGGAAAAUGAUAUUCAAAUUGCAUUAAUUAUAUGUAACUGAAAAUGGCAGUUUAGUGCUGGACUUCUGGCUUACGAUGCCUCUCUGAUGUGCCCUCUCCCCCCACCGAUCCUGGGCCAAUUACCCACCCCCACUGCAUUUUACCAUUGGUGUCCCUUCUACCUAAUGGCACUGGAAAGCUUUCCAUUCAGAAUGGUACGGCCAACUCCAGGACUCUGCUUUAUGAAUGACAGAUUGGUUUUCUCCCAGCCUAUCCCACAUAGUCCUCUUGAUAAGCAUCCUGUAAUUUGCUUGGCAUGAUCUUAUACAUAAAGCAGCUGGCAGGUACAGUUUUAUUAUCCUGGCUGCAGCUUCUAAUGUGAUUGAUCACAGCCUGUUAUGGUACACUGCAUCUGGAGGAAAUCGAAUUUUCUCUGAACCCAUGAUGGAGUACUCAGAUACACUUUCCUAUGCAAGGAAUGCACAGAGAAGAGAAGGAGCUGGAUAUCAAACCAGAUGCAAAUCUGAGUCCAAGUCAAAGGCAGAAGAAAUCUCUUUUCGUUAGGAAGCUUCCUUUAAACACACACACACAAAUAAAACCACACACCUACUGAAACUGAAUCUUUAAAAAUAAUUAUAUGCACACAUCUCUACUGGUGAAUGGGGAAAUGCCCCACCAACCUCAUUCUGCCCUCAGCAACCCCCUACCCUUUGGCUUAUACCCAGCCCAGAGGGAUGACAAUGCCUGUUGCUUUCCUCUUCCUUACUCUCAGUGUUGCUUGUUAUAGAACUCCACAUGCAGGAGGAUGAGGACAAAACCAACAUGAGUUGGCUCUGCCUAGCAUUGCCUUUGGCUCCACCUACUGGUGGGCUCCCUGCCUUCCACCCUACCAGUUUCAACAGACACCACCGCAUACAUUGGAUCAUCCAAAUUAAAUCAUCACGAAAAGGACUCUGUGCACAACCAUUGCAUGUGGAUGGCAGUACAGUGGUACCUCGGGGUACAAAUUUAAUUCAUUCCGGAGGUCCAUUCUUAACCCAAAAUUGUUCUUAACCUGAGGCACGCUUUUGCUAAUGCCACUGCACGAUUUCUGUUCUCAUCCUGGGGCAAAGUUCGCAACCCAAGGUACUACUUCCGGGAUAGCAGAGUUUGUAACCCGAGGUACCACUAUACUGGAUUUGUAAAAUGAGAAUGGAUGAUGUUUCGCCCUUUCUGCUCCCUGGUUCAAAAGGUGCAGUUUUAAAGGGAGGGGGAGAGGAACCUCCAGUGAUUUGUGGUUCAUUUGGGCAACAGGGGCACUACUCUUCCUGCCAAGCUUCCUACUUACAACCAGCUGCCAGCUUUCUCCAAUUCCAACUUGGUGUUGCCCUUUGUAGAAUUCAGCAGGGAGGAGGAUGGGAACAAAACUAGAGGUAGCUGCUUCUGCUUAUCAUUGGCUCUGGCUGCCUCAUUAGCCUCCUCCCUGCCAGUCUCAGUGAGCAUCAGCCACCACUCAGGUCCUCCAAAUGUUUUUGGGCUCCAUCUAGGGAGGAGGAGAAAUCUUUUUCUUUUUUUUUAUAAGAUAUUUAUUAAGAUUUUCAAAAUAUUACAAAAUAAAAAUAAAAAAGAAGAAAAUGCAAAAUAAAAAUGGUUAAAAACAACUCAAUCUUUCCAUUACUUAUUUUUCAUUAGCUUGUUUCCCGGACCUCCUCACGCCUCCCUUUUUUGUAUUCCAGUUCAGUUUGUUGGUUCAGCAAAUCCUUACCCUCUUUGUUUAUCCUAGUCUUUAAUCUUAAAAUAUUGUAGUGUUAAAUUUUUACCUAUUAAUAAUCCAUUUUUCAUAUUCCCUUAUAGUAUUACAGCUGAAAACCACUUAAUUUCUAUCCAACAUCAUUCUAGAAAUCCUCAUAACUCAGAUUCCAGAGUCGAUUCACAUGAUUCAAUCUGGGCAAUUCAUGACCCGCAUUGUAUCAUGAAAUCUGCUUUAGAAACUCUAGUACGCUGUAGACCCAUUCACCACUCUAAAGGAUCCUGCACCGCCAGCCUGCUCUGAGAGCCAGUGUGGUGUAGUGGUUAAGAGGGGUAGACUCGUAAUCUGGUGAACCGGGUUCAAUUCCCCGCUCCUCCACAUGCAGCUGCUGGGUGACCUUGGGCUAGUCACACUUCUCUGAAGUCUCUCAGCCUCACUCACCUCACAGAGUUUUUGUUGUGGGGGAGAAAGGGAAAGGAGAAUGUUAGCCACUUUGAGACUCCUUCAGGUAGUGAUAAAGCAGGUUAUCAAGUCCAAACUCUUCUUCUUCUUCUCCUCUGUCUUCAGUGUGUCCUUUCUAUGCAUGGAGGGGGUUGUGCGAACCUCCCUCAAGCCAAGGGCAGUCAAUCAAAUCGCUCUCAAAUCAAACCAAGUACCAGAUGGGUAACAGUUUGUAGUGCAUGGGUGAGGGAAUUGUGGCCCUCCCGAUGUUGUUGGACUCCAACUCCCAUUGACCACAGCCAGCAUGACUAAUGGUCAGAAAUAGUGGGUUAUAUUCCAUGUAGUGCUAAGGCUAAGGUUCCAUCAGCGCAGUGAUUUCUCCUUCUUCACCGGGACAUCCUCCCCACCAUUCACAAAUCUGGGACUUCUGCCAAGCCUCCAGAGCAGAUUUGGUGGUGGUGUGGAGCCAAGCAUAAUAGGAUGGGGCAGGAGGAAAGAGACCCAUUGCACUAAGCCGUAGUCCUUGUAAGCCUGCAACUAUAUCAUUGAAUGCCACCCAACUAGAGUUAUUGUGUAGAAACAUCUAGAGGACCAUCGGUUCCCCCCAACCCUGAUGCAGAAGAAACUUGUGUGAGACAACCCUGCUGCUAAUUUAUAUUAUUUCAAUGUGGAAAUGGGCAGGGUGCAUGUUUGGGAAAUACUGACAGACUCCUACUCCCAUCAGCCCCAAGCUGCCAAAAGGCAAAAGCUAUUGGUGCAGGCCAUUUUCUGAAUUGGAAAGCGCCUAUGUUUGGAAAGAGCAUUUGGAGCAGAGAAGAUGAGGUGCCUUUUCUUUAAAUCAGUUACCCACAUUGGGGGAGUGGUUGGUUGUAAGAUGAUGCCUCUGCCCCUGAGCCACAAGCCACAGUCAGACCCACAGUACUGGGAAUGGUUUAGAGCAGAGCAUAAGGAAAAGCUAUGAUUUUCUUUUAAAGUGUUGUAAAUUGCUUUGAGGGCCUGGAGGGUGAAAAGAGGGGUAUUAAUCCCUUCUUAUCAUCUUCGCAGUCUGCAUGCAUCUUUUCUAUGUAUUAGGAUGUAGCAUAGCAAUGGUAAAAUAAGCCAUUAUUUUUCAAGGAGAGAGAAGCCAUUUCCCAUCCAAAGGCAGAAAUUCUGGAUCAGGAACGUUGCCCAAUGGACCAGACAGGUUCCAGGGAAAAUAUUAAAACAUUUCCCAGAAAAUCUUUAUUCCACAGUUAUUCAGUUUCUUUAAUAAUAUUCUUUCAGGGGGAUAGAUCCCAGAAACCUAGAGGCAAUCUCUAAAGGAAAUGAAGAUAUUAAGCAGCUUCAUUCCUAGAGGCCAAUCACAUUACUUAUUGUAGAUAUGAUUUUUAAAUAUGGUAAAUUGUGCAUAAAGGUUGCUGACAGAAAUGUAUGAUAUCAGGAUAGAUUGUUUUGCAAGAUGUUUAUAUUAGAUAAAUUGCAGAACCCCCCCCCCCCCAAUUUUUUUUUUUUUUUAGAUUAGGACAAUUUGCACCAACAUGCUGGUGGAAAUUUCAAAAGGGGUUGUUGUUGUUUUUAGUUUCAAAAAGGCAAACUGAUAUUAAAAUGUGAAGAACUUAGGACUUAAAAAGUGAGAAACUGAGAGAAACUGAAACUGACAGAUUCACCCAACCUUACACACUGUCACACACUGGUUUUUGGAAGCCUAUGGGGCAAGAACAGCAGGAGGGGUUUUUUUAGAGUAAAAGGGACUAUUUGGAGGGAAAUUAUUUUUGCAUAUGGGGUGAGGGUCUGGUGGUGGUGCUUUUUAACUAGUUGAGUGCCUUGGGAUUUCUCUCAGUAUCCUGAAACCUCUGUGGCAUAUGGGUUGCCCUGUUUUUCCUACAAAGCCAUUGGCACAGGUCUACUGAGUUCAGAAUUAGAGGGAAAUAUUAAAGAACAUUUUUUUAAAAAUCUCAGUUGAAUGGUCGCUUAUUAAUACACUGACUGUGACAAUUGCCCUGAUCCAAAGCCUAAAAUUAGAACCUGGUGCACUCCAAGCAAGGUUGCCAAGCUAGGCUGCUGUUCUCCUUGAGUAAGAUGGCAGAGUUUUCUUAAUACCUUCCCGGCCCUUCUCUCCCAGGAUGUUUUGGAGAGCGAGCGAGGCAAACUGAAGAGACAGGGCUGUCUGUCGAAAAGGUGAUCUCUAAUGUACUGAAGCAGGUUCCCUGGAGCCCUUUGUCUCCUGUGAUUGACAGCUGGUGAAAAAGCAAACCACCGGCAGAUAUGGCUCUAAAUCAAAAUUGUCCGCUUGAGCAGGAAUGAUGUUGGUUCUGAUCGCAAUGCGAAUCUGUCAGUGUCUGUUUUCUGCAUUUGCUAUUUUCUCUAGCUAAGUUAAACUCUGUCUUGCUGACAUGCCAUUACAGCAAACAGUGCUUUGCCUUACCUUGUGGGGAUGACUCUUGUGCACAAUGACCCGGCCGUGCCCUGCAGGAUGUGGGCAGUGUUUUGCAGGAUCAGAGAAAGAAAGCCUUUCGGCAGGGAUAUCCCUCCAUAGGAACAUAGGAAUCUGCAUUGAGCCAAGUCAGACCAUUGGUCCAUCUAGCCCACUAUUCCCUGUUCUGACUGGCAGUGGCUCCCCAUCAUUUCCGAGCACAAUUCAAAGUGUUGGUGCUGACCUUUAAAGCCCUAAACGGCCUCGGUCCUGUAUACCUGAAGGAGCGUCUCCACCCCCAUCGUUCAGCCCGGACACUGAGAUCCAGCACCGAGGGCCUUCUGGUGGUUCCCUAAUUGCGAGAAGCCAAGUUACAGGGAACCAGGCAGAGGGCCUUCUCGGUAGUGGCGCCUGCCCUGUGGAACACCCUCCCUUCAGAUGUGAAGGAAAUAAGCAGCUAUCCUAUCUUUAAAAGACAUCUGAAGGCAGCCCUGUUCAGGGAAGUUUUUAAUAUUUAAUGCUGUACUGUUUUUAACACUUGAUUGGGAGCUGCCCAGAGUGGCUGGGGAAACUCAGCCAGAUGGUGGGCUGGGUAUAUAUAAAAUUAUUAUUAUUAUUAUUAUUAUUAUUAUUAUUAUUAUUAUUUCAGACAGCAGUUUCUCCUAGUCCUACCUGGGGACACCAGGGAUUGAACCUGGGACCUUCGGCAUGCAAGGCAGUUGUCAUUGGACAGUUGCUGAAUGGCGAUCAGUGGCGCAGCAUGGAGGGGACACAGGGGCAGUUGCCCCAGGUGCAAAAUUGUCAGGGCAAAAAAUUUCAAUUGCCUUAAUACAGCUGUCACUGGGCCUCUGUUGAAAAUGACUUCUCCAUGCAAACUAGGAAGUGACCUCUCCAGAAGUGACCUCUGUAGCUGUGAUCUCCUGGGUGGCAAGGACACCGUUGGGCAGUUGAAUGUGCAUGCACCCUUUUCCCUCCCUCCCAGUCUGCAUCCGUGUGGCCCCGGGUGCUGGCAAUCCAUGCUAUGCCACUGCUGGGAAUGAUGGGAGUUGAAGUUCAACAGCAACUGGAGGCACAAAGUUUCCAUAUGUCUCCUCUAGGGGCACUGAGCUUCUCUUAUCAGUUCCCUUCAGCCUCUGCUCUCCCCUUGAAUCCAUAAACAAAACUGAGGUUUAAACAAAUUAAAGAGUUGGUUUAUGUGGCACACAGAACCAAAUAUGAGUCCCAUUGUGACUAGGGGUGGGGUAGGGAUCCCAGUGGCUAUUUCAGAUUUCUGUCUUUCCAACAUGCUGACUUAAGGCCGUCAGAAGCAUAAGGAAAGGAAAAACAUAUUUGGAAGCCUGCAAAUGACAUGUUCAAACUAAAAUUAAAACCAAUGAAGAUGUUAAGAGCUGGUACUCAAUUAAAUCAGACUCUUCUCUCAUCUCAAACCUGCGUUUAAACAUGUAAACAUAUCAGCGCACAAAGAUUUAUCUGAUGUUAAAUGAGAACACAAGCAAUUUUAUUCCAGAGGGGCAGAUGUUAAAAAACAUUGUUAUGUACCAUUUUCACAGAUGUUCCCUCCUUCACUAUUUUUAGCGCUGGAUUUUAGUGUUUCAAAUUUCGCAUUUCAAAAGCCGUAGAGAGGAAAUGGUAGGUACACUCAAGCCAACGGCAUUGGUUGAAAGGCAGUUUGGCAAAGUGUGUGCCCAGGGAUCUUUGCCAAGGGAAAUGCAUUAUCGUUCUUCAACCUUGGUCUGUUUGCUUUCCAAUCAUUUAGGGCUUUAAACCAGAGCUUGUCCAAGACAUUUUGGCAACUGAAGCAGACCCCAAAAUGACCCCAGGGAACAAGGGGUGAGGAAGUAUCUGUAUCAGGAACCAGGGGGACAUUGGGAUCUGCUGUCUCUGUGAAUUCUGCCGCCUGAGGCAGUUGCCUCACCUUGCCUCAUGGGUGGGCCGGCCCUGCUUUAAACAGUAAUGUGAACACCUUGAACUGGGCCAGAAGCAAACUGGCAGUGGGUGCAGCUGUUUUAAAGUAGGGGUUAUGUUAGAUCUAACCUACCAUUGGCCUUCCUGCCUUCUCCCCCACCAGUUUCAAUGGGCAGAAUAUGGGCAGAUAGCUGCUGGUUAAUACGCAGGGGAGAAAUAACUUGGCAGCAUUGACAGGGAUGAGAGAGAUAUGUGUGUUUUUUAAUGUGAACCUGCCUAAUUCACGAUUUGGGAAUAAAUAUGUGAAUUGAAACACAGCUGUCCUUUGAAAUCUGCACUUCUCUGAAUUUUGUGAUGCAACUCUCCAACCACAAAAAUACCCGACGAGUGUGAAAAUAAUGUACAAGGGGAAAUUGCUGCCAAAAAUGUGAAUAUUAGGCAGACCUGCAUGCAAAUAUGCAUACACAAGGCGCAACAUGCACUCAGAUGUGUACAAAUUGCCAUGAAGGCUUCUUCUUUCUUUUAAGCAAGCUGACGCAGAAAUGGGUAAUUGACAGAUCGAUCCAUCCCCAGUUUUGAAUUACUCGUCUUACCCUUUAUGCACACAAGAAACUUCAUUCUCCUUGCUACUCAGAUGAGCCACAAGGGCCUAAUGUGGCAGUUCGAGCAAUUAAAAUUCAAUGAGGCUGCAAAUAUUUGCAGGAUUUAGCCCAGAGUGACUUAUUUUAGAGAUUUGUGAAGCCUGAAUCACUCCUAGCGUGAUGCAGUCGUUUUCAUGCAUAAGUAGAAAAGAUAUUUGUUCUCUUGGCUCCCCUCCCUGCUUCCUAUAGGUAGCAGAAACUACCACAGCCCAGGAGAGAGUCAGAUACAUACCUGAUGUAGCGUUACUCAGUUUAAAGGCUGAGCUGGUAUGGGGUGUGGCCAGGGAGGAGGUGUGGCCUCAGGAGAGUUCCAAGGGCCAGAUAGAAAGGCCUGGAGGGCCACAUUCACCCUGGGCCUGAGGUCCCCCAUGCCUGCCUCAGGUUGUUCAACAAUAAUCCGUAAACAGACCCCUGUGUUGCAAUAUAGACAAGCUGAACAAUAUUACACAACACUAUUUAUUAGUCUAUAUAUAGUGUUUAGUGCCAUUGUUACUGGCCAUCGUGUUGUGUUAUAUUGUUCAGGUUGUCCAACAGCUGUUUGGUGGCCUAGGGGAGCACAUUGUGAGUGCCAAUAAGAUGGGGGUCAUCAUGCAACGCCCUGACCAUAUAAUCUUUAAAUUUAAAGUUCCCUCAGUUUCUCAUUUUCCACUCAAAUUCACUUUUCCACAUUUCUGAAGCAGUUUGCAUUAAAAGAAAAAAUCCUUAUGAAAAUUCUUCAGCAUUUUAGUUUAGUCAGAUGUGCACAUUUUGCAAGCGCUUUUCCCUAAUGUAAUGCAUAUUUGUAUGCUAUUUUUACCAAUGGGUGUGUUUAGAUGCACACUCUGUCCAAAUCUAUGCAAUUUUGUACAUACUGUUUGGCUGGAGAACUGCAGGCUGAAUUCAAAAUAGUGUAAAUUUCAAAGGGUGGUUGUGUUUCAUUUUGCAUAGUAUUUCAGAAAGUGUGGAUUUAGUCAGGUCACUUUUAAAUGUGAAGUGAAGUGAAAUUCUCCCCCAUGCCCAGUUCCCCAACCCACUACCAAUCACCAAGUGCAGCCUUCAGAACUGAAAAAACUUACCUUCUCCUUGCUCCCACUCCAAGAUAUUAGAUUUUCCAGAAAGUGAUCAAGGUUGUAAUCUACACACACAUUUUGCUGCCUUCCUCCCAACAGGUUCUUAUUUGUAAGUAAGAAAGAUCUUUAUUCAUGAGAAUAAAGACUUGGUAGCAGACACAAGGUCAGGGUAACAAUUCAGGAGUUCAAGAUUCAGUCAAGACAUUCAGAACUGCUGAGCCUCCAAAUGUCCCUAAUUUCCAGGGACAGUCCUGGAUUUACAGAAGCUGUCCCGGUUUCUGAUUUGAUCCCAGAAUGUCCCUGGCAACCCAGUCAGGUUGGCAGGGUAUAAAUAGUAAAGUUAUCAUCAUCAUCAUGGAAUAGGACGUCCCUAUUUUCAUCAGAGAAAUGUUGGAAGGUAUGGAAAUGUUCAUAGGAUACAAAAAAUGACAGCAAAACAUGUAAAAGCAGACCCUCCAAGUGUCCCUAUUUUCCAGGGGCAGUCCCUGGAAGGGACAGCAGCCAUCCCGGUUUCUGAUUUGAUCCUGGAAUGUUCUGCUUUUCCUUAGGCUGUCCCUAUUUUCAUCAGAGAAAUGUUGGAGAUUAUGGAACUGGAUGGAAGCAACAAAGCCGUCCCAAUGGUUUCCACGCCCCAUCUGCCAAGCUUUCAAAAAUGAGGCAUGCCACACUCACUUGCAAGACUCACUUGUUGGGAUACUGCCAGGGAGACGGGGGCAUUUGGCAGGCCCCCAGCUUGCUCCAGCCACCGGCCGGCAGCCGGACGAUCUACGGUACAGCAUCAAUCAGUCAGCGACUCAAGCCUCAGUAGCCUUCUGAAGCUACCGAGCACGCUAAUUAGCAGAGUGAAUAAAUCUCCACAACGGAAGUGGCGGACAGAGAUGUGUGUAAGCAUAUUUACAAGCGUUUAUUCAGCAUAGUUCAGCAACAAAGGAAAAAACAUGUCUGCUUCCCUUUGUGUCCAGCAAAACAGGAGUAUAGCAAAAGCAACAUACAACGGACGUUCCCAGCAGACUGUGCUGGAAGUAAACAGGCAUGUGAUACACAACAGUCAUGCCUGACCCUUUUAAGGUGGAAUGGAACGAUAUCCUAACAUCGCUCACUUUGCAGGAAUGCUGAGAUUGCAAAAGCACGCUCUUCCAAGUUGGGCCUGCUCCCAUCCAUGGAGGUGGUGUCAGGUUCUCUAGGUGACAGUACUGCAUCCUCUUCUUUAGGCUCCUGUUCAAUCACUGCUGGCUCCUGAGUUGCUUCUCCCCUUUGGCUGCCCACAGCUCUCCCCACUGAGUCUCUCCCCUCUUCUGGGAGGCCUGAAGGACGGAGUCUGCAUCCCUGCUCCCCUUUCUGAAGCACAAGUUGAGGAACAAGCAAAAGAGCCUCCCCUUUCCAACCCUGGUCCCCAUCAGGCCAGACUCUUAGUUCUUCAUCCUCAUGCAUCAGGCCUGCCAACUAAAGUCUGGUCCCACCAGUGCUGUGGACUCAUGGCAAAAAUGGAGACCUGGAAGAUCAGAACUUCAUUCUUGUGCGUUUGCACAGGAAUCGUUCAGCUGUAAUUGGGCAAGACUAAAACUGUGACUUACGGCUCAUUUUCCCCCCUUUCUCCCCAGCAGAUGUGUCCAUGAUUUGUAUUCUCCGGGUCUCCAAUGAGUUUUCUCCAGCACCUUCUGCAGAUUUGAUUGAUACUGUGCAUGAGCACACUCAGUUAAAUGAUACAGUGUAGAUCAAAGCAUGAAAGAUAAUUUUCACCGAAAAUGUGUGGCGCUGAGGAUGAGUUAUGAAUCUUUGUUUCACAGCUUAUGGAGCACAAUUUCAUUUAAAGCCUAAAUCCAUCAUUUCAGGAAUUGUUCAUCAAAAUGCAUCCAAUACAAGCCUGAAGAUGAACAGUGUAAAGUCAAAGGGAGAAAAGGGGGGGGGUGUAACAACAACCACCUACAGAGACCCCAACUGCUGCUGCUGCUACUACUACUAGAGAGAUGUUGUUUCAAGUAUGUAAGAGUAAAAACCAAGAGACAAUAUCUUGUGAUCUGCAUGAAUAUUUCCCAAGAAACGAUCCAUAUGAAACUAGUGGAAAAAACUAUUCAUUGACAAGUUUGGAUGCAGAGAGCAAUGACAAGUUCUGUGGAAUUGAAGCAGGGCUGUAAUGCACCCAAGGCUCAGGGAUGCUAUUUUUCUGCUCGUAAAUCUAUAUUUGAUUACUUUGGUUUAUUCAUGAGCAAACACAGAGAUAAUUGCAACCGUGAUCUUACUUCCCUUCCCCUUCUCAAUCCCUUUUCUUCUCCGCCUUACAGAGUUGCCUGUUCUCAAAGACGCAAGAUCUUUUUUCAAAGCAUCGCACUGUAUCCAGAGCAAGUUUCUCACACACGGAACUAUAGAAUUGUAGAGUUGGAAGGGACCACGAGGGUCAUCUAGUCCAACCCCCAGCAAUGCAGGAAUUUUUUUGCCCAACAUGGGGCUCAAACCCACAACCUUGAGGUUACAAGCCUCAGGCUCUCCCAACUGAGCUGUAGGUGCUGUCAAACUCAAUGCGAGAAAUUGGGCAUAGCUACAGAUGUGACAGAAUUCCAACAAAAACAGAAACGGAAUGGAAAUUGCUGGUGUUCACUUAUUUGUUCCUUGUCCGGAACAGAAACCAAUCCAGCAGAUAAAAUUGGUAUUCAUGGUUGUUGCUGCUUUCGGUUCACAAAGGACAUACAAUUGAUUAUGCUCACCCCACCCCCACCCACUAACAUUCUGUUUUCUUUGCAGUGAAAUGAAUGGGAUUGAACAACAUAAUGAAAAUGUAGCCUAUGUAAGUUACAUCAUUUUGCUACAAAUAACAUAGCUUUUGGUGGAAGGCAAACAGAAGCAGAACAGAAGCAGCGCUGCAUGUGAGGAAUGAAGGGAAAACAGAAAACAAUGCCUUACCUUCCUAUUUGUGACUUGAGCCUCAUUACAGCAUGACCAAAGUGGAACUCGCUUGCUUGGGAUCCAGCCAGUCAGUUGGGGAUACUAAGGCAUUUUGGCCAAAACCUAGUCAUAAAUCAAAUCAUGGAAGAGUUGCAGAGUUGGAAGAAACCAUGAGGGUCAUCUAGUCCAACCCCCUGAAAUGCAGGAAUCUGUUGCCCAACGUGGAACCCACGACCAUGAGAUUAAGAGACUCAUGCUCUUACCAUGGGUAAAGUUAUUGAAGGGUUGCCAUAUUUUAAAAAGUGAAAAUCCAGGCACAAAACUUGUUGACCAUUUUGGUAAAAGUUGCUAAGGGAGGGGGUUAUCUUUAAAAAAAGGGUCUGAGGGUUUAUUUGUUUUUAGGAAAUUCAACAACAACAACAACACCAAACUUCUGAUUUUUGAAAAUUCUGCCCAGACUCUGUUUUCAGCGGACAAAUUCCAGAAAUGUUCAGCAAAUUCCAGACAUAUGGCAGCCCUCGCUAUUGUUUUGGAGUUAUUGUCUUGUUUGUUGUUAUGAUGUGUAUUUUAUGCUAUAAACCGCCCUGUGAUCUUCUGGCAAAGGGUGGUAUAUAAAUCUAAUUAAUAAAUAAAAUAACUGGUUUUUACCUUGAGGGGGGGCACAUGCCAGUGUUGGGUACAGCCAGAGGCACAAUCAGGCAGAGUAACCAAUGGAAAUUUUCCUUUUCUACAUUAAGCGAAUUUCUGCACACAGCCCUCUCUGAUCUCCAAGCAAGCAAAGGCAUGGUCAGUUAGACAAAGACAACCACAGCAGCAAAUCAUGGAAUUUGGGGGAGAGUCCCAAGGGCCAGACAGAGAAUUUCAGAGGGCCACAUUUGGCCGCUGGGUCUGAGAUUCCCCAGCCCUGAGUCCUGCCCUCACAGGAGAACCAAAUUCUGUCUGAGCCAAGGAUCACAACACCCAGUCAUUUCUGCUUAUAAUUCCCUUGCCCCCUUUAUCCUACAAAGGUUUUAUAUAUACCCACGCGGGUGGCGCUGUGGGUAAAACCUCAGUGCCUAGGACUUGCUGAUCGUAUGGUCGGCGGUUCGAAUCCCCACGGCGGGAUGAGCUCCCGUCGUUCGGUCCCAGCUCCUGCCCACCUAGCAGUUCGAAAGCACCCCUAAGUGCAAGUAGAUAAAUAGGUACUGCUCUAUAGCGGGAAGAUAAACGGUGUUUCCAUGUGCUGCGCUGGUGCUGGCUCGCCAGAGCAGCUUCGUCACGCUAGCCACGUGACCCGGACGUGUCUCCGGACAGCGCUGGCCCCUGGCCUCUUAAGUGAGAUGGGCGCACAACCCUAGAGUAGGACAUGACUGGCCCGUACGGGCAGGGGUACCUUUACCUUUACAUAUAUAUAUAUAUAUAUUGCCAGAGAGAAAUGGAGAAGGGAGUAGAGAAGAAACAAUUCCUAAACCCAUCUGAAUAAGAAGCAUAAAUACAUUUCGUGGCAAGAAAAGGGGGGAGGAUCCACAGGAGAGGGCUUUUGUUCAUUGCUAAAAUAAAUGUGCUAGUUAGCCUGUCAACACACGUAUUCAUUUCAGGGAUGGUUGAUUACAGAGAAGUCAAACAAACUGAGGACCAUAUUUAACUGAGAUGCAAAGCAAGGAAUGAACUUUUUCCUCUCCAAAUACGAUGCUUCAGUGGAAGCAAAUUUUGAUCAUUACUGUGCCUAAAACCCCGUGUGAAGCUAUAAAAAUCAGUGCGCACUCUCGCUCUCUCUGCUUUUUGUCUUGACGCACAAAAGGGAGAGAAUGGAAUUACUUGUAACUUUGUUUGAAAUGACUCCAGGAUUCCUGCAGUAGGUAGUUUGGGGGCAGACAUCUGUAAGAGACAAGAGACAGAGGAACUUAAUUUUCAGUAGCUGACUCUAGUCUAUAUUUAUUUAUUUUUGAUGCAUUCCACCACCACCCCUUUCUGUCUACCAAAACAGUUCCCUGAGUGGCUUUACAGAACAAUUCAAAACAAAAAAUAACAAGGCAGCCCCAGCCCUCAAACAUACAAUCUAAUUGGGUGGCUCCUGUGGACCAAUCAGACUGCUGCAUUCUGAAUCCUAUUGUUCUAGGACCAAUCAGACUGCUGCAUUCUGAAUCCUAUUCAACUCGGUACAUAACAGGGGGGAAACGAAAGAGGGAGGAGGAGGGAGAAGAAAUACAAAUACAGUCAGGCACCAGUUCUUGAAGUUACUGCUUUUAGGACAUCCAGGUGGGAUGGACACCAUUCAGGGAGAGGAAGAGCCAAAUGCAGCCUGUCUUUUAGCAAAGCUGAUGGAGUGGGCCUGCUUCUCUUCUCUUCUCUCCCUCCACUCUGCAGCCUCAUGGAAUAGCUGCUUCCAGGUGACAGAAGAGCCAAGGCAGCUUGUCUCUCAACAGAGUUGAUGGAGUCACUCUGCUAUAUUUAUGGUGCCUGCCCUGACCGCCCCCUCUGGCCAUGUUAACAUGAUGAUGACUGCUCUGGGACUUUGUGGGAAACUUUAAAUGGUGCUUUCCCUGCUCCUUGCCUCUUCUUAGCAAACAAACACAUUACUGAGAAGCCACUCAGCGGAGCUCCUCUGAUGACACUUUGGCAAGAGCCCCAUCAACCCUGGAGCUGGCUCCAGUACAGACUCUGGAGAUACGAGUGAGAUUCUAUCUAUAUCUAAGCUGGUUCUGAGUUUUGAAUCAAUGCCUGAAUGCCGGUUACUGGGGGAAGCAAGCACCACAUUCUUCUGCAUGUGCAAUUUUUCUACAUGCAAUAGGUGUAUGGAAAGAUGUGUUCCAAAUUGCAAACUCAAAUAUGGCACAUGUCCCUACGGGAAGCAAAGAUAGCCCUCAACUUGUAUGGCUUUAAAAGAAUCGUAGAGUUCGAAGGGACCCCAAGGGUCAUCUAGUCCAACCCCCAGCAAUGAAGUAAUCUCAACUAAAACAUCCAUGACAGAUGUCCAUCCAACCUCUGCUUAGAAACCUCCAAGGAAGGAGAGCCCACAAACUCCCGAGGGAGACCGUUCCACUGUCAAACAGCUCUUACUGUCAGAAAGUUUUUCCGGAUGUGAAAUUGGAACCUCCUUUCUCCCCCUCCCCUUUUUAAUGUAUUUUUAUUAAAGAUUUUCUUAGUUUACAAAAGUAUGUGCAAUGUCUCUCUCUCUCUCUCUUUUUCCUCCAAGUAACAUUUUUUUACAGAUCAGUUUCAUUUGUUGAGACAUUAGGAAGAAGGGGGAAAGGGGUGGGGGGAGAUGGGGUGGGGUGGGGUUGGGUGGCAGUGUUUCUAUUAUACUUAAUAUAUGCGGGGGUUUGUGUCAGCGUCGCUUGUGCAGGUUCUGUGCUAGUCACUUGUGUUCCUUUGGUGGUGAGAGAGGUUGGGUGUUAAAUGGUGGCUAGACAUGGCAGACGACACAGCGAUCUCUCCAAAGCAGCUCUUUAUUUUGUAAGCUGGAACAGAACACAGCAAACAGCUCAGCCGGCCUGCUUUUAUAGGCAGCCGGCUGUCAACAUUGUAGCAACAACGACCCAGGGUUUCCCGCCUAAAUUAACUGACGUGGACCUGAGUGAAAACUAUCUACAGUAUCCCCCUGCUGGCCCAGGGUGAGAACUUCAGUACAUAACAUUGGGAUUGGCCAAGGUGUGUUUGUUUGUUUGUGAUUGGCUGUGGUGAUCUUUGUUUUAAUGUGUGAGUGGGGUGGGUGGGUGUUUUGGAUCAGGAACCUCCUUUCUUGUAACUUGAAGCCAUUGGUUCGAGUCCCGCUCUCCAGAGCAGGAGAAAACAAUCUUGUUUGCUCUUCCAUGUGACAGAUUCAUGGAGGGCAGGCCAUCAGUGGCUACUAGUCAUAGAACCAUAGAUGUGCUGGUCCCGUGGGUUACCCAAGAGGCGAGGUCCAAGUCCAGUCUGUGGUCAAGGUGCAACGGGGAGGCAGUCCAUAGUAGCUGAAGCUGGGUGCAGGACAGGGAGCCGGGUGAAGUCAGGAACAGGCUUGCAAGCAGGGAGCCAGGGCGGGUCAGGCGCUCAGGCAGGAAAGCAGGACAGGGUUCAGGCAAGAACUGGUAACCAACAAUGUUGCUCCCACAACUUGGGACUGGGGCUGACCAGCUUUUAUCUGCCCCGAGGCAUAGGGCAGCCCCGAUCCUCUCGUGACUCACCUCUCCUGGCCUGGAGGCGAGCACUCCUCCUGUGGGAACUUAGUUCCCUCUACCUCUCUGCCCUGAGCCUCUGAAGCUCAGGAGAAGCUGGAGGGUUACCGGACCCAGAGGCAACCUCAGCUUCCCCUGAUGGGGCUGAGAGUGGAGCACCUGCAGGCAAUGGGUCCUCCAUCAGCUCAGGAGCCAGAGCAGACUCAGCUGAUGCCUGCACUUGUGGAUCCAGCACAGGUGAGGACCCUUCAGGCUUAUGCCCCAGCCCUGGCUCAGCUGGUUCUGGAGGCAGGGACUCCUGUGCAGGCUGGGAUUCCUCAGGUUCAGCAUCCGAGUCCAAAUCCCAGGCCAUCACAAUAGAAUUGUAGAGUUGGGAGGGACUAUGAGUGUCAUCUAGUCCAACCCCCUGCAAUGCAGGGAUAUUUUGCCCAACAUAGGGCUCAAACCCAUGACCCUGAGAUGAAGAGUCUCAUGCUCUACCAACUGAGCUAUCUAAUCACAGUCAUGAUUGCUAUGUUCAGAAGAGUAUUGCAGAAGAAUGAUGUCAAUCAACAUUUGACGAUCUCCUUCUACCUGUCCACAAUAGAAAGUGUCCUUUCAUACUCCAUCACGGUGUGGUACGCUGGUUUGACAUCAACUGAUAGGAAAUGCCUACAGAGGGUGGGGAAUACAGCACAAGAUAUUAUGGGCUGUCCCAUGAAUCCGCUGGAUGAAAUAGCGGAAGAACUUUGCCUCAGGAGAGUGAGGAAAAUUCUCAGGGAUGAUUCACACCCUGGCCAGCACUUUCUUGAUCUCCUGCCCUCAGGCAGAAGAUAUAGAAGCAUGAUUAAUCGCGCCAACAGGGUAAAGAACAGCUUCUAUCCAUGGGCUGUUAGGCUGCUGAGUGAAUAGAUAACAACAGGGCAAGUGACUUUCGGGUUUGGUGGGAGUGCAUCAGUAAACAAGGGGAAUUAAGACUAAGAGAGCUGAGUGGGGGGUGCUCGUGUAAUCUCACUGUAUACAAGUUGUACAAGUGGCAAUAAAGUAUUUCAAUCAUGCCUAUGAAUACCGUUUCUGGGAAUCACAGGUGGGCACAAUGCUAGUGUACUCUUGUCCAGCUUGCAGUUUUCUCAUGGGCCUCUGGUUGGCCACUGUAAAUACAGGAUGCUGGACUAGAUAGGCUGUUGUCCUGAUUCAACAAGCUCAUAUUGUGAUCUUAAAGUUCCAUUUUUCCUCUUGGACCCAUGGCAGACGUCAGCACCAGUUGAACCCGGUCGGGUCCUGCAGUCUUGGCAUUUGAUGAUGGAUGCUGGGUGCUGAGGAUUCUGGGUCUGGGCCACCACAGUGACUGAAGGCGUUGCCCAUCACAUCAAUGGCCAAAGCACACCUGAGCUUCCCACAGAAUUGGGGAGAGUUGCUUGCGCAUCGGAACACACCCUCAGUCAGAACUGCUAAUGCUCGAUUGUCACUCCUGGGGAAUCCAGUGGUCUAAAUUUAUAGACGCAAACUGUUUUGGAAAACAUUUAUAAUUCAUUGUGAGUCCAUUAAUUUUGCAUGGCGCUGACGCCAUCGCGUUGGAUAGGUGACUGUCAAACUAGAAAGGGACCUCUCUUGUCAUUACAGGAAGGUCAACAUCUGAGACUAGGACUAGGACACAAGGCAACCAGUCAGUCACUCAUAACGCCGGAAUGAAAAAUGACACUCACUGGAGUUGAUUCUAGCAGUGGCGUUUGAAUUAUUCAGCAGUUUCGCUCUCUCUCCCUCCCCCCAACACCACCCACUUCAUUCACCUCCCCUUCACUUUCUCAUCAAAACCUACAAGGGUUUGCAUAUUUUUAAAUUGUCCUGAUAAGCCUCUGGGAAAUAGACCAGUGAUAAGGCAUCAGAAUACAGAAAGGGAGCUGGGUUUGCAUAACUGCCCGCCAUACAUCUUCCUGACACGCACUUUCUCUCGAGUCACAACAAGACUGGGUGGCAGCAUUUCAUGUUGAGGUAUGUGCAAGCAAGGGGACAACCCUCCAGUGGUCAGCGGAAGCAUUUCACCUCAUCCCUUAAGCCAGGAAUGGGGAGCCUGUGGCUUUCCAGGGGUAGUUGGACUCCAAAUCCCAUCAGCCUCCAUCUGCAUGGCCUUGUUGACAAGGGAUGAUGGGCACUGGAGGCCAGCAACAUCUGGAGGGCCAACGGUUCCCCAUCCCUGCCACUGCUUUGCAGGAAAAUUUCUCCCACUUUUCUUUUUUUUAUCCUCCUCUAUCACAGGGGAGCCAACUCUAUGAGGCUGAGGUGUCUUUGCCACCCCCCAUAUCUGUUGGGAGAGGGCCCAAUGUUGUGGGGAUGGAGGAGGCCAAGCGCAGACCCAAAAGUGGCUUGGCUUCAGUGGCCAGUUCCUCCUGAGUGUGAGAGAGGAGAAGCCACCAGUCAUUGAAGCCAAUGUCACUUAUUCCACACAUGAUGUCACACACAGGAAAUGCUUGCCAGGUGUAUGAUGUAACACACACGCAUCAUGCAUCUCAUGCAUGACAUCACAUCUCUGCCCACUUUGCUAUGUGUAUGUCAUUUUAUAAGCUUCUGCCCUUCCACCUCUUGGUCACCUUUCCUCUAAACGAAGACGUCCCAAAUGCGACAACCUUUCCAAAUGGGGUUGCUCCAUCCCCUCCAUCGUUUUGGCUUUCUCUCACCCAUUUCCCAUUGCCACAGCUACCUUCGCCCCCAGACACCAAAUCACUUGAACGUAUUUCCCAGGAACCUCAAUAAACCUGUUUUCAUUUGUUUGCUUUUCUUUUUCGGGACUUUAAUCAUUAGAGGACAGCAUUCAGAGAGAUUACCACCCCUCAUGCCCAAUCUUUCUGAUAAAGAGCAGCAAGCCUCACCUGCAAGGUCAGGCACAGAGUACAAUUCCAAUGAAGGGGGGGGGGAGCCGGCAGCGAGAGCCGCAAGACCCAGAGAGAUUUAGAAAAUGUCAAAGGGGUGAGGAAGAUAAAUGAAGGCUUUCAAAACUGAAGGAGCUAUACACGAGUCAAUACUUUCUCAUGAAUAAUGCAUUCGUUUUUGGAAAAACACGGGGAAAUGUGGCCCGUAGAGGUCCCCUGAAAUGGUUGUUUUGAGGGUUUUUAUUUAUUUAAGCAAAAAAAUAUUGUUUCACACCACCUCAGUCUCCAAGCGGUGAAAGAUUCCAGGGGUUCCAAGCACUCACUAAGGGUUCAUGUUUCUUUUUGGCAAUGGGGCAAAGCAGAGACUGUGGUAUCUUUGAGAUAUAUGGUUUAUUUACACAUAUAUACCACCUGAGCCUGCGAUGGAGGGGUUCACAGCAUUAACACCCCAAAAGAGUCUUGUUUCUCCCAUAGCCACAGUCAAACAGACAUCAAACAUUGCUCUCCAACUUUCUCCAGCUUGCUGCUUUUUCCUCCAGGUCACAUCGCUGCUCCAAAACUCUCUACUCUAAAUUCUGGCUUUAUCUGUUGAAGGAAAGGGCCACACCCAUUUUCUGUCUCAGACCAAGCCCCGCCCCUUAAUAGCCCAUCACCCAGUUUUAUCACCUUACCAGGAAACUAGACAAGCUAUUCCAAGAAUUAGAAGCCUUGGUUAAAUUCUAACACUUGCUGGAUCCAGAGAUUAGAGGGGUCUGGCAGCCAGUUGAACACUCCAAACUCACAACAAUAUUCAUCGACUCCUUUCUAAGCAACGUCUGUUGCAAACAAAAUAUCAUGAUGAUUAUGUUGCAUGAAAUAGGUUGUAAUAAUAAUAAUAAUAAUAAUAAUAAUAAUACCCCGCCCAUCUGGCUGGGUUUCCCAAUGCAGAGUUGAGCUUUCUUCAGUCUUGCAUAGGCUGCAUACAAGCCAUUUAUUUAUUUAUUUAUUUAUUUAUUUAUUUAUUUAUUUUAAAUGAUAUUUAUUAAAAUUUCAGAAAAAAGAGUUACAUAAAAAACAAGAAAAGCAAUAGACAGAAAUAAAAAUACAAGAAAAAUACAAAAUACAAAAUACAGAAUAAAAGAAUAAAAAACACUUCCAAAAAAAAAGGGGGGGAAAAGAUCAAUCUUUCCAUACCUUACAUUCAUAUCCUUGUUUCCCUGACCUCCUCAUACCUCCCUCUUUUGUAUUCCAAUUCAAUUUGUUAGUCCAACAAUUCCUUUCCCUCCUUUUUAGUCCUAAUCCUCAAUCUUGAUAUAUUGUAACAUUAGAUUUUUACAAAUUAAAAACCAAUUUUUCCAUAUUCUUUUGUACCUAUACAGCUAGAAACCACUCAACUUCAAUCCAACAUCAUUCUAACAUUCAUUUAUUUUGCAAUAUUUCUGUAAGUAGUCUUUAAAUUUCUUCCAAUCUUCUUCCACCGACUCUUCUCCCUGGUCACGGAUUCUGCCAGUCAUUUCUGCCAAUUCCAUAUAGUCCAUUAGUUUCAUCUGCCAUUCCUCCAGUGUGGGUAAAUCUUGUGUCUUCCAAUGUUUAGCGAUGAGUAUUCUUGCUGCUGUUGUAGCAUACAUAAAGAAAGUUCUGUCCUUCUUUAACAUCAAUUGGUCGACUAUGCCAUAUAUUUAGAGCAUAUUUUUCCCCACUCCCAAAAGUAUCUUAGGAACUGCAGUUUAGCACUUGCAGAGCUACAAUUCCCAGAACCCUAAGCAAACUAUAAUUUCCAGGAUUUUCUUUCAGUUUAGGGUGUGUAUGCAGCCAAAAUCUAUCCUUAAAAAACAAAAACAAAACAGAAUUCAGGAAACAGAAUUUAUCCUGUUCCAAGGACAUAAUAGAAAUGCACACAAGUUCAGAGUUCUACCUGAGAUCCUGGACAGCUGCUUCUUACACCCUCGUCUCACAAUGAUCAGCUAAGAUGUCCGUGAGAAGCCCACAAGCAAGACCCAAGUACAACAGCACUCUCCCAGUCACUGGUAUUGAAUUUAAUGGGUUUACUUCUGAGGAGACAAGCACAGAACUCUGUUGAUAGGUUCUUUCCAGACAGUACCCAAUAUUUUAAGAAACAGGCUGACUUAAGGUCUAUUGAAUUUAGGAAAACAAAACCUUUUGGAAUCAAAGCGUUGGAAAGGCUUAAAUCUCACUUUGAACACUCGCUGAGGGAAAUGAGUAUUUAGAUUUGAUUCACAGAGGUGGAAAAUCUCCGAUUCAUUUCAUUCCUCCUAAUUUCAUUGAAUGCUCUGCUACAUUUUUCAUUUGUUUAGUGUGUUUUUAAUACCCAAACUACCGUGUAUGAAGGGGGAAGAAAUCAUUGGAAUUAUUUUUGUUUCACUUGUUAGCAUUCCAAGAGGUUCUUUGACUUGCUAGUAAAUGAAGUCCUACCAGUAAUAGCCAAGCCUUGAACUUUUGCAGCUUUUGUCUGUUAAAUACAGAUAUCCCCCACCUGCUUCUCUGUGCCCAUGUUGCAAAUUUCAAGGAGAUGAAACUGCAUUUCAAAGAACUAACUUAAUCAAUACCAUUCUUGGACCAGCAAGGUCGGGGCAGGUUCCCCAAGUAGCAAAGAAUAGGGUGAAGUCAGAAGCUCUGCUAAUAAUUCAAAAUUAUUUAUAACUGGAUGAAUAAAUGAUGGGGAAAUGUUAAUAGAGAAUUUGUUUGUAUGCUUGCCUCAUACUGGGAAUAUAACUUUUCAAGAGAUGCUGCUGGGAGGGUGUGUCUAGAGGCAAAUGGAGCCCACUUUGCACACUUAAAAACCCCGAAUUUCAAUCACUGCCACUCCCCAGAAACAUAGUGCAAAAAUGACAGCCCAACAGGCAUUCACCCUCAUUUUCCUGACCCACAAAAUAGGAAGUCUAAUAAAGCUGCUAAAAUCAGUGCUUUUUUUCUGGGGGUACGCAGGGGUACACAUACCCCUAAACAUUUUCUGAAUCUAAGUUUGGCCUCCUUGAGGGGCAGUAUUUCAAUAUGAGUAGGAGAAUGAGAGUACCCCUAAACAUCUUUUUUGGGGGGGAGGAAGCACUGGCUAAAAUUAAACUUCAAAGAAGAAGAAGAGGUUAUAUGCCACUUAUAUUGUAUAAAUCUUUAAUGGGUUCACGUAAAACACACAAUUCCAAAUAAUUAUAUUAUGCUGAUACAUAGCAUAAUAUCUAUGCAAUAUUUUAAAAAAUACCGAUUCUCACAACAUUAGCAGCAUGAAGGGGGGUGGGACAGAAGAGGAGAAAACCAGCAGCAAAAUAUUGAUGAGGUCACCAAAACAAACAGAAAGCUGUGGGAAACUGCAUAUACAAACAGCUUUCUACAUAAUUCCAGGCAGGGGUGCCAACUUGAAUAAAACACCAGAGGGGGGAGUUAAGCCCCACCCCACAUGGUCACAUGAUACAGCACAUGAAUACUAUUUCAGUGGCAAUGCUCAUCAAUUUUGGAGGGGUCCGGCCCCCUCAAAUAUUUUAUGGGGAAGAGGCUGAAGACCCCCUCAGAACCUAGGAAAUGGCUCCUAUGAUUCUAGGGGCAGCCAACACAGUGGGAUGGGGCCCCACCAGUGCCACCCUCCCAACAUCAGUGUUAUUGUCACUUACUGGGACUGACUGGGCUGAGGGCAAGAGCACAUUGGUGGGUGCACAUUGCCCCAAGUGCAACACUGCCCUGCCCCAUUUCAUCCCCGUAAGUGGCAGUGAUGCUGCUCUUUGUGGGGGGCAGGUGGUGGUACAACAGCACCCCACUGUGUUGGCCACUCCUGCACAAUUCAGAACCAACGAUCUGAGCAAUGGAAGGGCUGUUGAGUUUCAGUAAUGCGCUGGUGUCAUUUCAGAAACAAGACCAGGUCAUUGGGAAUGGAGGCAAUGGUGGUAUCUUUAGCCUGGGUGAGAGAAGAUCGACAUCAGGAAACAAUGGGGGACUAAAGAUCGACAUCACGAAAUGCCGCCCCGUGAAUCCUGCCACAUGAGGCAGUUGCCUCAUCUUGUCUCAUGGGUGGGUCGGCCCUGCUUAGUUGUGAAAUAUACAAGACACCUUUGAACUGAGACCAGGGGGUGGGGCCUUACACAUUGCUACAAUCACUCAGUGGUUUUAUGAUCCUUGUCCACCAUGACACAUUUGAUUCUAUGUGGUUAGCCUUGUACAUACAAAUGAUGCACCCAAAUCACAGCUUCUAGCCCACAGGAGAGGCUUCAUUACAGCUUAAUGCACUCAUCGCUGGGAUAAAAAUUAUUUUAGGGAAAACGUGUAAUAUAGCAAAAUCCAGUUAGUAGAAUAAUGGGCUAAUUAUGCUCUAAAACCCAAAUGUGCUUUUUAAUGUCACUGUUUCAAAAAGUCAAAACAAUUUAUUAUAGUGCUACCUGCUUUAUGGUCACUUACCAUUUCCACCAUAGAAGAAAAGUGUGUGCGCGCGCACACACACACAUACACAGUUUAUAGUUCUAAUUUGGUCUUGCGGGGAGGGUGAAAGAAUUCAAUUUGGGAAAGUGGAGAGGGUAUUGGGGCUUGUCAACCUGGAAGGGUAGCCCACCUAGGGGUAGGAAAACUCUGAUCCUAUACCUCUGCUUCCUUGUGGGAUAUCUUCAAGAGAAGGAAAGGCUAAGGAGUAGGCCCUACACAAAUCCAGAAUGGAGUCUUAGGACGGUUGGAUGGUGCCUUGUACACCUCCUUCCAGCAAGUCCUGCAGCCAAGCUGGUGUAAACAUACUGCUUUGCUUUCCUUUGAAUCACGUCAGCGGGGCUGGGAGCGGGGUCUUGUCAACUGGGCAGCCCAGGACCACCAUCAACACUGCCCAGGCUUGCACCCUGGGGAGGUCACUUCGGUGCUGCUAAUGUAGUGGUUUGACUUCACCACUGUAGGCGCACUCCAUUGUCUCUCGAGACAGACAGAUGCCAACAGCAGCAGGGGAACAAUGGUUGGGAAAAGGGAUAUAGUGGUUCCUCAGGUUAAGCACUUAAUUCGUUCUGGAGGUCCAUACUUAACCUGAAACUGUUCUUAACCUGAAGCACCACUUUAGCUAAUGGGGCCUCCUGCUGCUGCUGCUGCGCUGCCAGAGGUAAAGUUCUUAACCCGAGGUACUACUUCUGGGUUAGUGGAGUCUAACCCGAGGUGUUUGUAAUCCGGGGUACCACUGUACAGGAGUGGGCUGGGCUGUAAGGAAAAGGAGGGGACAUUUUACCAUAUGUGGUGGGAUUGUAAUGAAAUUAAAAAGUUUUAGGAAAUGAUAUACAAUGAACUGAAGAAAAUGUUCCAUCUAACAUUUGUUAAGAAACCUGAAGCAUUUUUGUUAGGGAUUGUAGGAAAAGACCUGCCAAGGAAGCUGAAAAAUAUCUUCAUGUAUGCAACAACGGCAGCGAGAGUCUUAUUAGCACAAGGAUGGAAGAACGAGGAAACCCCGACUAAAGAACUAUGACAAGAGAAACUGAUGGACUACACAGAAUUGGCAAAAUUGACACACAAACUAUGGGACAAGGACAACUGUGACUUUAAAGAUGAAUGGGAACCUUUUACAAAGUACUUAAAGAAACAACAAAGUGAACUGGACUCCUUGGCGGGUUUUGAAUAAACACUCAAACUUUUUAUUGACAAUAAUAAGUCAGAUAAAUUAAAGAUUUAUACAGUUUUGUAACAUGCAGAGAAUAGCAUUUGUAGAGAAACCAGAGAUUGGAGCUGAGGGAAGUCGGGGGGGGGGAGGAGGUGGGUUUAUUUUAUGGGGGGGGAAACAAGGAUGAUAUGUAUUAAGAUAAUAUGUUUUGUUUAAAUUCUUAAUAAAAAAAUUUUUUUACAAAAAAAAGGAGUGGGUUGGGCAACUUUUCUUGUAGAGUUGUUUUUGUUUUUUAAAAAUUUUCAAGCACAAUAUACAUUUAGUAAGCACUGGAUCUGGCUUGCAUCACCCCUUCCAUUGCUGCUCCCCUUCACUCUGGUUCUGGAGUUUAUUUUAUUUUUGCAAAUGGAAUGCAGGGGGCAGUUAGAGAAGAAACAUUGCCAGCUGAAAUCAACAAGAAAAAUAGCACAUUGAUCCUGAUGGAAAUGUUUAAAUUAAUAUAGGCAGUUCACAUUUCCAAACAGGUAUCCAAAGGAGUAAGGAUAUCAUCUGACCUCUGAGUAGUGGAUAGUGGGUAUUCAUCCUUCCAUCCUUGAAGCCCAAAGCCCAUUGCUACCACAAGGGCAGCAGUGCCCACUUUUACUGUCCCUCUAUUAGUCCCCACAUUACAGGAAUAUAAUUUAAGACUGCAUAAAACAUCUGCUGGUGUUAUGGGUUCCCCACUCCACCCACACAAAAAAAGCCCAAAGGGUGGUAGUCAAUUAACUUUUACUUAGAGCAGGCCCAUUGAGAUUAAUGAAUUUAACAUGAAUUUCAACGGAGCCAUUCUAAGCCAAACUUAGUUAAAUACCACCUAUAGUUUAUGCGCACAAUAGUUUCUGACUAGAAAAAUGAUACCACUGGCUGUUAACCAGGAGGCUGAUGGUUUGAGCCUGUUCAGGGGUGGCUGUGGGCAGGAUUCCUACAUUGUAGAGGGUUAGACUAGAUGACCCUUGGGGUCCCUUCUAACUCUACAGUUCUAUUGUUCUAAGGCACACCUACAUCAUACGUCUCAAAAAGGUGUUAUUAGCAACAUUUAUCUGAACUAGCCAACUCCUUCCUAUAGAGGCACUGCAGAACUCACUAUACCCAAAGCAUCAUUUUUUGUUGAAUCAAUCUCAGUUUUAAAUCUAAGAUGGAUUACAAACAGAUGCUAAAGGAGUUUAAGAAUCAGCAACUGGCAACCAUCAGUAGCCUAAAUUAAUUUUGCUCUCUUUAGGGUUUAGACUCUCAGGAAAGUCAGGUGAUUUCCUCCAACCAAUCUAGCAGAGUGCUGGAAGCCAGCUUCAUCCGGACUUACACUAACCAUAAAAUUUUCCAAUUAAUUCACAACUUCCUUGCCUCAAAUGUAAAUUACUUUCUUUAAUUGCCUUAUGUGAAUGCAUAACUGAAGUGUUUUGACUUGCCCAGAACUAAUCGUCUGUCAAAAAGAUACUUUGCUGCCAAGCAGAUAGCUUAAUUGGAUAUUUAAUUUAACUGUGAGCUUUGUUCUUUCAAAAUUCACAUUUUGUUCCUUAAUAUUCUCUUUCCUGAGCCCCAUCAUUCCUCUGUCUGUCUCCCUGCAAAGGUUUUGUCCCUGUUAGGAAACAAGUCUCUAUUACUGGUUUCUACCAUUUUUAGGUACGUAAUAUUUUCAGCCACCAUUUUCCUCCCAGAACCAACCAUGGACAUUGGCGGUCACUUUCAGAACUCUCAGAUUCAAAACAUGAGCUUGUUUUCCCCUUCUCCCUCCCAUUCAUUUUUCCUCACGUGUCAUGACUUUUUAGCUUCUGAGACUUAAGGCAGCAACCAUCUUAGAAUUGAUUUCUGUAAGCCACUUUGAGAGCCUUGGCUGAAAAAUCAAUGAAAAAUAAUAAACCAUCCUAUUUUUGCAUGAAUCUGUGAAUCUUUUUCUAAAAGCCCACAUGAAAAUUCGUGAUGUGUUGUCACCAAAAAAAAGAGUAUUUAAAUCACUGUUUUAUCCCAACGUUUGCAUUUCUGAAAAUAUUGACACCUAAGAUGUGUGCUCUUAGAGCCCACUGUAUUCCUUGGAAUGUAAUCUGCUUUGGGGUGCAUGGGAUGUUAGAGGAGAGGUAGUACCUCUAAUGGGGAACACAUCGUGCACCUUCUGGGGUAGUUUGUCCACCUUUGGUCCCUAUCCUGCACUCACUUGGAGCUCCUAGAAGCUGUCAGCAUGUGAUAGUGGCCACACCCCAGGAAACAGCUUUGUCUGGCCAGCUAAACCAGGUGAGGGUAGCUGAUGGAUCUCAAACCUUUGGUGAGUUAGGGACUUCUUCUGCAUGCAAAGACAGACUCCAGCAGAUGAGAGAAUGAGACCAAUGGUGGAUGCAACGGUCAAGAACACACUUUCUGCACCUGCUGUAGAGGAAGCUAGGGGCAGAUGGGACUCAUCAACCUAUGAAGGAGGCCCAUCUAGGAGUAGAAAAACUGGUCCUAAACCUCCACUUCCUUGUGGGAUAUCUUCAGGAGACGAAAGGGCUGAAUAAACCCUACACAAGUUCAGAGUGGAGUCCUAAAAUGGUGGGACAUAAGCUUAAAUAAUAAUGGGCAAGUAAGUCGAUUCUCUUUGCAUGAGGCACAAUGGCCAUUGCAAAGAACAUGGGGGGGGGGGGGGAAUCAGUAACAAAUUUAGACUCUUGCCAGCACAGGCAGGGACAAAACAUGGCACUAAUAAUAUACAAGACUAAUAAUGAUCAAUACAAACUGAGAUUAACAACCUCGGGAGACUAUUCUGGAUGGCCCUCUUUGCAGUCCACAGCAGACAUCUUCAGAAAGAUGCAACGGAAUUUUUUAGCUGCCACUGCAAAGGUGGCCACCAUGUUCCUAAUAGUUGUAUUGUGGUCUGCUAACAGAUCACAAAUAAUAUCAUUCACGAUAAAUAAAUAAUUGAAAUUUUGGUAUAGUCAACAACUGUAUCACAAGAUUUGGAGAAGUGUGAAAUCUGAAGAAUAAUUUAACUCACAUGAGUCUGGGAAGUGCAGUGAGGUCAGCUUUUACUGAAGUUUACAGAAAUCAUAUUCCUCAUAGAAACAAGGUUUAGCUGCGCUCUUGCAAGUGCACCCUCCAAUUACUAGCUUUCUCUUAAUGUACCGGCUGUAAAAUGCAGAACACCACAGAACAUACAAGGGAAAAAGUUAUACCCCACAGCAUAUGGGAAAUGGGAUAAAGAGCGUGCUAAAUUGAAUAAAUUACAUGGGAUGAAAUGUUUUUUUAUUUUAUUUUCCGUCUCCUCAUAAAGCAUCUGCUGUUCACACUGAAGCUGCCUGCCACCAAAAGUCUCCCCUCCAUCUGAUUAGCACUGCUGUGUGAUCCCCAUUGUGUAGCUGAUUAAACAACAUUUGUCUGCUAAUAAGUUCCCAGCAUUUCGUACACAGUCAGGCAUCAUUCAUCUUUAAAAGCACUUCUAGCUUUCCACAGCUCGAAACUUGUUUGAAGAAAGGUUUUAUGUCCCUAAGAAUCAAAUCCAAUGUGAGACAGAAUCAGAGGCGCCAUGUCCCAUUUCACCAGCUGAAGCGAAACAGGAAAUGCUACCCUAACCAGCCCCUGCCAUCUGUGUUGUCUAUACCCUGUCCUGAGCCUUGGGGUACCCGUCACCAAGUCCUGUUGGUGCACACACAUUGCAACGUGAUUUCCUCGUUUACAAUGCCUUUUUGUAUGCUCUUUCCACUAGUACAGUGGUACCUCGGGUUAAGAACUUAAUUCGUUCUGGAGUUCCAUUCUUAACCUGAAACUGUUAACCUGAAACCUGAGGUACCACUUUAGCUAAUGGGGCCUCCCACUGCUGCCGCGUCACUGCUGUGUGAUAUCUGUUCUCAUCCUGAAGCAAAGGUCUUAACCUGAGGUACUAUUUCUGGGUUAGCGGAGUCUGUAAACCUGAAGUGUCUGUAACCCGAGGUACCACUGUAUAUGUGUUUUAACACACAACUUGCUCCAGUAUGUGCAUCUCUGCAGAGAAGUGCUCCCUUCUGCCAUUGGCUAGGAGCUGUACUGACAUCUCUGAAGCCUGGAGAGACCAUGAACAAGAAACUCAAAACGUUUGAUUUUUGUGCUCUGCCAGUGACUUCCUGGGUGGCCAUUGGGAUUGGGUCUUGCUCUGCUCUGCCAUUUCGUCUGUUGGUCUGUUUGUGUGUUAAGCAAUAUAUCCUGCCAUGAGGAUUCUUGGGGGCAGGGGUGGAGGAAGCGGGGUGCAGUGAAUGCGGUCCACCCCAGGUGUCACCACUGAGGGGGGUGACAAAAUGCCGGGUGGCACUCACCGCGGGGCCUGCAGAGCACCCAAGCCACGCGUCUCAAUGGCUUGGGCACACGCAGACCCUGCGCUGCCCAAACAGUCCGUCCGCUGCUUCCCCCCUAGCUAUAGGGCAGCUGAGUGGGAGGAGGCAGGCAGACUCCAGAGGCCCCGUGGUGCGCCCCGCCUUCACCCCACCCCUGUGGGUGGCUUGUCCCACCCCAGGCACCCGAGCAGCUUCCUUCACCUCUGCUCGGGGGGAGAUACAUUCACAACUGGAUGUGGAGAUGUGAAGAACUGAAUUUAAGAGGGAGAAAUGGGGAGAAACCAACUUUGUCAGAUUGGUCUAUCCCUACUGUUGGACGAAUGGUUAAGCUACCUUUGGAUUACACACACAGCAGCCUUAAGAUGGCACCCUAAAGGUACAAUAUACUCCUUAUGUUAAAUGGCACUUCAUUUUCUUGACUAACUCAGGCAUGUCAUUUCAAGUAGCAGGUGAAUUAUUAAGAGGAAGUUGAUGAAAAGGAUUUGGUGGGGUUUUUUAAAAAAUCAUUUCCAUACUGUGCAACCUCCUGCACCCACCUCAAAGGUGUUGCGAUAUAUAUAUAUAUAUAAUUGGCUUGAAAGCCUCUUGCAUUAAUAUUCAUCAUCUUCCAUUCUGCAGGAGCAGUUUGCAACUCAAAACACAGUCAGCGUGUGUCACUUUGCAUAUCAUCUAUAUUUUAGCAUGAACAAACAACAUCAAAUUUCAAUUACAGGCAUCAAUCCAAAAUCAGCUCUCAAAUGAAAAUGGCACAGAUGAUGAACCAAACUGUUCCAAAUCAUUAGUGCAGGACUUCAUAGACUUUAAAGGAUGUCAUAAUAAUGUAACGUUUUAAAGGCUUGUUUAUACCAUCAGAGAUAUACGAGGUCCUUUCAGAGGCUGUCGACACCAGGCUAUUUUCCAAAUUUAACCGUCUAUAUAAACUAGGGGUGUGCUCUGCAGUGUGUGUGUCUUUUUUUCUUGCAUUUUAAUUUUUUUAUUAUUAUUAUUAUUUCAUAUAGUGUGUGUGUGUGUGUGUGUGUGUGUGUGUGUGUGUCGUAAAAUUUGGAUUCAGUUCAUUCUUAUUUUGAAUUCAAAUUUGUGUUUUGGAAACGGGAGACGGUCAGCAGUUGGGAGAAAUUUGAUUCAGUUCAAAUUUAAAGCAAAACUUCCCAAUUUGCACUUUCUUAACAGUGCAGUGGUACCUCUGGUUAAGUGCUUAAUUCGUUCCGGAGGUCCAUUCUUAAGCUGAAACUGUUCUUAACCUGAAGCACCACUUUAGCUAAUGGGGCUUCCCACUGCUGCCGCGCUGCCGGAGCACGAUUUCAGUUCUUAUCCUGAAGCAAAGUUCUUAACCCGAGGUAAUAUUUCUGGGUUAGCAGAGUCUGUAACCUGAAGCGCAUGUAACCUGAAGCGUAUGUAACCUGAGGUACCACUGUACAGGAACUGAAACUGAAACAUUCUUUGAAAUUUGCACGUCUCCAAAUUUAGCAGUCCAGUUCUUCACCUGCUAAGUAAGAAAUGCAUAUAAUAGGGGGGAUGUGAAUGUGAAAGGGGUAUAUAAGUGUAUAUAAUAAUGAGGGAGCAGUGGUUUGGGUUCCCCAAUUUCCUCCCCACCAGCCCCAAUGACCAACAGCUCCGCAAGUUCAUAGGAUCGUGGCUUCUCCUUUGCCACACACAAACUUUUGGAUUAGUCUUCAAGCAAACUGCCACUCUGUUUCCCAAGUGUAGGAUGAGGUGAUUGGGAAACCCUGUAUCUCUGCCUCCAUUUCAUGUAUGUAAAAUGGGAACAUUAUUGACCUACCUCACAGGGUGGUUGCAAGGAUGAAUAAGGUUUCUUCAAGCUGUUUCUGAUGUGCUUGGAGGCUGAAAUUCCAUGCGCCCUUACUUGAGAAUAAGCCACAGUGAAUUUAGUGGGAACUUCUUUCAAGUAAACCUACAUAGGACUGUGCUGUGAAACUCAGAAAUCUAAUGGGCUAUAAAUAAUAUCCAUCUUGCUACUGUGUUCUUUCAGAUAUCUAAUAUGGCAAAGUGCUACUUUAAAUGCCACUGAUGCUCCCGCUCCUACAUGUAAAGACAUUAAUCAGUUUAUAAAUAAAAUAAAUUAUAACAAGAAAACCAGAGAGAUCUGGGUCAUUACACCAGAGGAUAAUUAAAUGUGACUUAGUUCGUACGAGCUUUAGAGAAAACACUGAUAAAAUCUGCUCAGCUUGGAUUAAAAAUAAAUUACUGGGUAAAUUAGGUUUCCCGAUGUUCUAUCUAAUUAAUCCGCACCCUUAACUCAAAUUGGUUGACUUUUUAAUUACCAGAUAAUCUCAUCCAUAAGGAAAGUGUUUCCUACUCAUACUCUCUCUGCAUAUGUAGAGAGAAUUCUCAAAAUGUCCUGCCAUAUGUCAUAACUGAGCUAGUUGCCCCUCUUGGCAUUCAGUUUAGUCAUGUGAUCCCUCCUGUCAUUGGCCCCAUGCAUGCUGCCCUACAUCAGAGGGGCACAAAGUUGGAAGGGCGGUGGGGGGGGCACCACAACUAAGAUGUAAAAUAUAUGGCGAGAGGCAGGGGUGCCAAAUUUGGGCAUCACACAGGGCGCUGAUGAAAUUUGAGACCCCAAAGUACACCACUGCCUAGGUAAAGCUAAAGGUAAAGGACCCCUGGACAGUUAAGUCAAAGGUGACUAUGGGGUUGGAGCACCCAUCUCACUUUCAGGCCGAGGGAGCCGGCGUUUGUCCACAGACAGUUUUCCGGGUCAUGUGGCUAGCAUGACUAAACCGCUUCUGGCGCAACAGGACACCAUGACGGAAACCAGAGUGCACAGAAACACUGUUUACCUUCCCGCCACAGCGGUACCUAUUUAUCUACUUGCACUUUGACGUGCUUUCGAACUGCUAGGUUGGCAGGAGCUGGGACAGAGCAACGGGAGCUCACCCCGUCGCGGGGAUUCGAACCGCCGACCUUCUGAUCAGCAAGCCCAAGAGGCUCAGUGGUUUAGACCACUGCACCACCCACGUCCCUAAACCACUGCCUACAUGCUAUCAAACCAGUCAUCAUUGGUAACAGGCACUUCUGGCCACUGUGGCUAUCUGAGUCUCCAGUGACAGCAGGACCCAGAAGCACCCCCAAACUGCAAACCUUAUACAAUGCCAUCCAGGGUAGGCAACUGACCAAUUUCUCAGAUAUGCGAACUACUCACCCAUGGCGACUCUAUCUUUCCAGGAUUCCAGCUCAGUUUGUUUUUCAUCAUCCAUUUCACCCCUGUGCCCAGGCAAAGGCCCAGGGAAUGCAUGGCCUCUCCUGAUUCACAGAAUCAUAGAAUCUUAGAGUUGGAAGGGACCCAAGGAAUCUCAACUAAGGGAUCCAUGACAGAUGGCCAUCCAACCUCUGCUUAAAUGCCUCCAAGGAAGGAGAGUCCACCACCUCUUGUGAGAGUCUGUUCCACUGCUGAACAGCUCUUACUGUCAGAAAGUUUUUCAGAGUGUUUAGUCGGAAUCUCCUUUCUUGCAACUUGAAGCCAUUGGUUCGAGUCCUACCCUCCAGAGCAGGAGAAAACACGCAUGCUCCCUUCUCCAUGUGACAGCCCUUAAGAUAUUUGAAGAUCAUAGUCUCCUCUUUCCCAGGCUAAACAUACCCAGCUCCUUCAAACGCUCCUCAUAAGGCUUAGUUUCUAGACCCUUGAUCAUCUUGGUUGCCCUCCUCUGCACACAUUCCAGCUUGUCAACAUCCUUAUUAAAUUGUGGUGCCCAGAAUUAGACACAGUAUUCCAAGUGUGGUCUGACCAAGCCAGAAUAGAGUGGUACUAUUACUUCCCUGCUGUCUUUGUCCAUGGAGUUUUCUUGGCAGGGAUACUGGAGUGGCUUGCCGGUUCCUGCUCCAGGAAUGCCUGACAUGCUCUGGUCCAUGGGGUCAUGAAGAGUCAGACAUGACUAAACGACUAAGCAACAAUUACUUACCUUGAUCUGGGCACUAUACUUCUGUUGAUGCAGCCUGUUGACUCAUGUUAAGCUUGUGGUCCACCAAGACCCCUAGAUCCUUUUCACAUGUACUGCUAGUAAGCCAGAUGUCUCCCAUCCUAUAUUUGUGCAUCUGGUUCUUCCUGCCUAAACGCAGAACCCUACAUUUGUCCCUAUUGAAAUUCAUUUUGUUAGCUUGCGCCCAGUUCUCCAAUCAGUUCAGAAGUUUUGGAUAAACAGAAAUUACCCGAAAUUCCCAGUGACUGCUCUCAGUGGCUUCAUGUAGAUAUUAAAUCGCACUGCAGCAUCUCAUAGCGUAGCUGCCAGGAGGCCAAAUGGCACUCUCCCAAUGCUACUCUCUGAAUUCGGUCUUGAAUGCAGGAUUAGAACCACUGUAAUACAGUGCCUCAUACCCUCCAACAUUCCUCCAAUAAAAUAGACAUGGGUGGCGCUGUGGGUUAAACCACAGAGCCUAGGACUUGCCAAUCAGAAGGUUGGCGGUUCGAAUCCCUGCGACGGGGUGAGCUCCCGUUGCUCGGUCCCUGCUCCUGCCAACCUAGCAGUUCGAAAGCACGUCAAAGUGCAAGUAGAUCAAUAGGUACUGCUCCGGCGGGAAGGUAAACGGCGUUUCUGUGCGCUGCUCUGGUUCGCCAGAAGCGGCUUAGUUCAUGCUGGCCACAUGACCCAGAAGCUGUACGCUGGCUCCUUUGACCAAUAAAGCGAGAUGAGCGCCGCAACCCCAGAGUCGUCCGCAACUGGACUUAACAGUCAGGGGUCCCUUUACCUUUAAGAUCUGGCCAUUAAUUCUCCCCACCUUUCUUGUCUUUGGGGUGUUGGAGUUGGUUGGUUCUUAAACUUUGUUUGUUUUACACUGAGUUUAUGCAGGUCUAUCUCUAGACUGCACAGUUUUGUUUUAUGCCAGGUUCUGAGUUUAAUUUUGGUUCUGUGUUUUUAUGCAAUUGGGAUCGGGGUUGUUUUAUUGAAUUGCAUUUGUGUAUUCCAUUGAUGUUCUGAAAAGUGGCCAGGGAAUCUUGGUUAAUAGGCAGCCUAGAAAUUUAACAAAUAAACAAAGUUGUUCAUUUCCCCCCACCCCCACCCCCCGUCGCCCAUCUCUCAUUGCCAUGCUUGCAGUCAACUGUUUGUUGCAUGUUUCGGGAAGAGUCAGAUAAAACAUUCAAGAAUUGCUGAGCCUAUUUAUACACCACAUAUAUUAGAAUAUCUCAAAGCGAUACUAUGCGUGAGAGAAGAAGAGUUGUGUCAUCUUUUACGCCGCCACCGUGGAUCAUAAAUUAAUGUAAAUGUUAUUUUGCUACAGCAGCCUGCAAAGACCCUAAGUAAAUUUGCAUACCAAAUGGAGUGAUUUUUGCACUGGGACAAUAGCAGUAAAUUGAUCCAGUUCAGGCUGAGCCCUGGCGACACGUCGGAAGCCGCAGAACGAUUAAUGGCUAAAGAUUUCUGAUGAGCAACAAACUUGGUGGAGGAAUUGAUAUCCGUUACAGCUCUUCCAUUUGGAAGACAAAUAGAAAUGUUUUUCCUUUUUGAUAUCAGAUGGUUUCCCUUCCCCACAUAAUCAGCCAAGCUAAACUUUUAAUAUUUCCCUUGUGCGAUGUUUCAUUAAAUUGCUGAUAUAGUUUGGUCUACAUCUCUCCCUCCAAUGGAUACUAAAAAAUAAACAGCAGCCUUAAUAAUUUAUUGGUCUGUUCUGAGAUAAAUCCCACUUUGAAGAAUACAAUUUGGGGAGGGAGGAGGAUUUGACCAUGGGGAAGUAAAAGAGGCUUACGAAGCAGGGCUUAUGCAUGAAAACAGCACCUCCCAGCUAAGCUACUUCAUCCGUGCGCACCUAUCAUGCCGCAACAGCAAUAUGAAUUGCUCAUUUCCACGAGGCCAUCAGAGAUCAAGCACCACAGGCAGAAAUUCCAUAUGAAAUUAUUAGCAUGUUGUUGUUAUUACACUUGUACAGUGGUACCUCGGGUUACAUAUGCUUCAGGUUACAGACUCCACUAACCCAGAAAUAUUACCUCGGGUUAAGAACUUUGCUUUAGGAUGAGCAGAGAAAUCGUGCUCUGGUGGCGCGGCAGCAGCGGGAGGCCCCAUUAGCUAAAGUGGUGCUUCAGGUUAAGAACAGUUUCAGGUUAAGAACAGACCUGCGGAACGAAUUAAGUACUUAACCCGAGGUACCACUGUAUAGUGCAAUCAGUGUUGGUGGUGAUAGACAGGGCUUCUUUUUGCAGCCGGAACUCAGUUCUGGCACCUCUCAGGUGGGCGCCAUUGCCAUUCUAAGAGAACAAGGGAGGUGUUCAUGGUGAGUUCCGGCACCACUUUCUCUAGAAAAAUAGCACUGUGAUAGAGAAAUCUCAGACUCUGGGAUCAAAUGCAGCCCUCCAAGCAAUCUGGCUCUUGGGACUCUAACCAAGCAGCAUCUCUUCCCCAGAUGCCCUCUCCCAUCUCCCUAGGCCACAACUCUCACCAGCCCUGGUUCACACCUUGCUUGAGGGUGCCCCGUGUUCAGUUCUGGGGACCUCAGUUUAAGAAGGAUAUUGACAAGCUGGAACGUGCAGAGGUAUAGCUGUCAACUUUUCCCUUUUCCUGCAAGGAAUCCUAUUCGGAAUAAGGGAAUUUCCCUUUAAAAAAGGGAAAUGUUGACAGUUAUGUGCAGAGGGUGAGCAAGGUUAUCAAGGAUAUGGAAACCAAGACUUAUGAGGAACGGUUGAGGGAGUCGGGUGUGUUUAGCCUGGAGAAGAGAAGACUGAGAGGUGAUACGCUAGUCAUCUUCAGCUCUCUGAAGGGCCGUCACAUGGAAGAUGGAGAAAGGUUGUUUUCUGCUGAUCCAGAUGGUAGAACCUGAACCAGCUACAACACCCAGAGUAGUUUUAUAGUUGUAGAAUCAUAGAAUUCUAAAGUCGGAAGGGACCGCAAGGGUCAUCUAGUCCAACCCCCCACAAUGCAGGAAUCUUUCACCCAAUGUGGGGCUCAAGCCCACAACCCUCAGUUGCUCUUACCAACUGAGCUACCCUGCUCAAUUCUGGGAAUUGUACCUCUGUGAAGGGAAUGGGGUCUCACCCUCAGCGCCUUAACAAACCGCAAUUCAGCUUUCUAUGUUCAUAUCAGAUUAUUUAUCAAGUCUGAUACCUGACAGGAGGUCUGUAUACAGCUUUCUGGCUCAUAAAUGGGGCGGUUCUACUAAAUAUGAUGUGGACCUUAAUUUGUAUCUUAUCAGGGCUGGACUCACCCCUUUAGUCAGUGUUUGGGGCUCCAACACCCCCACAGGGCCCACUGCUAAUCUCUGCCUUUCCCUGCCCCUUUUUACUUCAGUGGGGUGGCAGUUUCAGCAUGAAUGCUGAGGGGUUGAGUCUUGGAGCACCAUCUUUAUUUUGGAUAAUGCCCACUGCUAAGUUGUGGGUGAACAUAUCAGACGACACAGCGAUUCUUCAAACAGCUCUUGUUUAUUCAAAGGCCAGAACAGAACUGAACUGAAGGGUUCAGUCAGCCUGCUUAUAUAGAGCUCCAGUACAACGUAACUGUAACAAUUUUCUAAAACUAUCCAAUCACUGAACGUCACUUUCGAUCCCUUAUUUGCAUAACUAUCUACAGUAUCCCCCUGCUGGCCCAGGGUGAGAACUUCAGUACAUAACACCCACAAUGUAGCACGACUCUAGCAAAGGUGUGGAGAGCCUUUGUUUCUCCAGAUGUUCCUGAACUACAACUCCCAGCAGCCCCUAGCAAGUAUGGUGAAUAUACAGAGAUGGUGGUGGCUGUAGUGUGUCACUAUCUGGACAGCUGCCCUAGGGCAUUGUGGGAGGGGGCGUGCCCUGAUAUUGUGUUGCUCCAGGGCAAAGGGAAGAAUUAAAUGUUGGCUCCUGGACCCAACCACCUGGCAAUCAUCAAAGCUGCUGUCAUUCCCAGAUAAGCUCACCAACUUAGUUAGGAGCCCACCAAGAGGGCAGUUUGCAGAGCGGGCUGCCAAACGUGGAUCUCAUCACGCUGCCUGUAUUAUUAAUGCGGCAUCAAAUUAACGCUGAGCUUUUAGGAUAUUCUUUAUGUGCAAUGCCAGUCAGAUAUCUGCUCCAGAAGCUGCCAGGAUUGCACAGAGCGACAUUUAUUUUAGGAUUGCGAUGAAUAAUUUAUUUAUGCAGUACCAUCAAAUGUACAUUUUUAGCACAACCCAGAGAGUAUAACUAAAUCCCAACAACUAAAUUAAGAAAUGAAUAGAAUCUUAAAUUGCAUUUUUAACUAAGACGGUAGCACUAAUUAUAUUUUACUUGGACAUAAAUCCAAUCAAAAUCAAUGGGGCCUACAUGCUUAGAUCGGACCAUUAAUGUGAAAUAGAGAUCUUUCCGUUUUGCAGAUUAUAAUAAUUAUUUCCUCUCCCCCCCCACCAAAAGAAUCUUUCUUGUUCUCCAAAAGAGCAUGAGAGUCACAUUGAUGGUUUCUCCCCAAACCAUCCCUGCCUUUGUCCUCACAACAGCCCUGUGAGGGUGGCUAGCCUAAGAGACUCUAACAGGCCAAAAACCACCAAGGGAGCCACAUGGUUGGGCAGGGAUUAUUAUUAUUUAUUGAAUUUGUAUACCCCACCCAUCUGAAGAUCCCAGGUUGGUUCACAACAUAAAAAUAUAAAACGAGGACACAAAAUACAUAAUAAAACAAUAACAAACCAAUAACCCCUCUCCUACAAACACAUUUAAAAGGCCAUGGAAUGUUUCAUCAGCCAAAUAAUAAUAAUAAUAAUAGUAACAACAACAACAACUUAUUAUUUAUACCCCACCCAUCUGGCUGGGCUUCCCCAGCCACUCUGGGCGGCUUCCAACAAAAUAUUAAAAUACAGUAAUGCAUCAAACAUUAAAAGCUUCCCUAAACAGGGCUGUCUUCAGAUGUCUUCUAAAAGUCUGGUAGUUGUUGUUCUCAUUGACAUCUGGUGGGAGGACGUUCCACAGGGCGGGUGCCACUACCGAGAAGGCCCUCCGCCUAGAGGUUUGUUCAGAAAGGAACGCAGUCCUCAGACUGAAAGGGGGGCCCCUUCCCUUGGGAUUAGUCCAGUAAUGUACAUUUACCCAGGCUUUGACAUCACCAUGUAAGCAUCAGCCCCUACAAAUUUUAUGUACCCAGGAUGUCCAUCUGACUGAAACCUUGAGAAGCUGUUGCAGUGAUUUAUAAUGUUCAUCGUCUCUUUGCAGGCUUGCUGCAUUGGAUACGGGCCAGAACAAUUUAAAAGAUAAUAGGCCCAGCUAUCUCUUGCUGGUAAAUAUCCAUUUAUAAUGGCUAAUUAUCCUCCUGAACUUUUACAGUUGCGGGUCAUGCACGCAUCCUGCCAUAGGUAAAGGUAAAGGGACCCCUGACCAUUAGGUCCAGUCGUGGCCGACUCUGGGGUUGCGGCACUCAUCUCGCUUUAUUGGCCGAGGGAACUGGCAUACAGCUUCCGGGUCAUGUGGCCAGCAUGACUAAGCCGCUUCUGGCGAACCAGAGCAGCACACAGAAAUGCCAUUUACCUUUCCACCAGAGCGGUACCUAUUUAUCUACUUGCACCUUGACGUGCUUUCGAACUGCUAGGUUGGCAGGAGCAGGGACUGAACAACGGGAGCUCACCCCGUUGCGGGGAUUCGAACUGCCGACCUUCUGAUCGGCAAGUCCUAGGCUCUGUGGUUUAACCCACAGCACAACCCGCAUCCCACACAAUGCCAUACUAAAGAGCAAUUGCAGCAAACAGACAAGCCCCCUUGCCCCAAAGCAGCAGAAUGCUAAAGAUGGGUGUGAAGCCGUUUCACUGGCUCUUAGUCUCCAUCCACAUCAGAAUCCUGAGGAGGUCAGAUUGGCCUCUAGCAGUGCAGACUCGCAGGGGAAGAAGGGGACCUUCUCUUUAUUCAUAUUGUACAGAGGAGCAUUCAGUCACUACUGUAUGAAAUUGUGCUGCCUUGACCCAGGUUUGCAAAUUCAGAUAGAAAUAAGCCCAAGAUGACUGCAUGAUCAAUGCAAGAUGUUCUCGUCUUAAUUUGCAUGGUGAAAACCUGGAAUCCCAAACGCUGCCCAUGGCUAUGAGCCAUAUUCAAUACACGUCUUACAAAUCCAUCACAUUCGAACAUCUGCUCAAGAGAGCAAUAUGCAUAGCAUUAGUAUCAAAAGGAAGAUGUUUUAAGUUUGGAAGAGAAGGGCAGCGUCAUUUCAAGAGCUGGAACCACACACAAACUUCUAAGGCCCAUCAUUUUCUAGUAAGUGAAAUAGUCUGGUCCCCAUCCACCCUCCUCUGGUACAGGGAAGAUGCAACAAAAUUAACUCCUGUCCACCCCCAUCAAAGGCUGCCAGCCAAAACGAAACAUGACAGAUUUACAAAUACAGAGAAUGUUCCAUUUAUUAUUGAAUGCUUGCAAUAAAUAUUUGCAUGAUCUGACAUGGGGAAGAGGACGCUGGUGCGAAAACUCAUUUCUUGGCGGAUUACAUAAAAUUGGGAUUUUGUAUCUGAGGUUUAGUAUUUUUGCAAGCAGGAGGUGUGGCGAUCAGCCUUGCCCUGUUCACGUGUUAUCCACAUGUACAUCAGGCAGGUGUUGAAGGAGGAGCAGGACCGUGCCACAGCCCUGCUCUCAGCAUUGCAUGUGACCAUCCUGCCCCGGUGAUGCCUGUCGCAGUCGUGUGGGUGACAUACAGGGGUCCAGCUGCUGUUGAGACAUGGGCACAGUUACAUAUUCAGUGGUCUGCGUUUGCCUGAACUUGAGUCUGGACUAAGGAUUCUGAGCCUCUGUGUUCUGAUUCAAUACGUGAUAUCCUAUCACAGAACAUUUCAGGAUUUGGGCCUCUGCCAUUGGCCCUUAAACUCUGAGUCAUGAUUCGCAGCUUGGAAGUUUAGACAGCCAAUCACGUUGGGAGUGGGAGUGGCCCAGGCCUUCAGAAAUGUAUAUAAGCAGUUGCUUUGCCCGUUGUCCAGUUCUGCUAGUUCAAUGAAGGUUCUUGCUGUUUUUGCUGUAUCUUGCCUCGUGGGGACCCACCUACACUUCAGGCACCCAAGGGUGUAUGAAGGGGGGUGGGGGCGUGCCCCAGGUGCCACCCUGGAAGGGGUGACAAGAUGGCCCACUGCCUCCCCCCCAGCUGUAGAGUGGCCUUGGUCCGUACAAGUACAGAUGCCACGUGCGGCAUCUGUACGGGCGCUGCGCGUGUGCCCCCCACCCCGGGUGCCAGAGAGCCUUCGCCCCCGCAGGCACCUAUUUGAAUUUGUUGCAGUGAACAUGCAGACAUCAUUAUCAUUGUAACUUUUAAACUGCUUUUCAUAUUUUUAAAAAAUAUUGUCACCUGCCCUGGGAUCCUAGGGUGAAGGGUAGGUAAAAAAUACAAAAUAAUACAGUGGUACCUUAGUACCUGAACGGCUUGGCUCCUGAACAAAUUGGCUCCCAAACACCGCAAACCUGAGAAUGUUCUGGUUUGCGAAUGUUUUUCGGAAUGUCCGACACGGCUUCCGCAGCUUCCAGUUGAGUGCAGGAAGCUCCUGCAGCCAAUUGGAAGCCACAUCUUGGUUUUCGAACCAUUUUGGGAGUCGAAUGGACCCCUGGAAUGGGUUACAUUUGAGAACCAAGGUACCACUGUAAAAGGGAAAGCAAACAUACAUACACAUCUCACGUUUUCCUCCAAGGGGUCAAUUCACCCCCACAACAACCCUGUGAGGUAGUUUAGCAUGAGUUUAGAAUGAGACACAGUAACUGGCCCCAAGUCACCCAAUGAGCUUCACGGUCAAGUGGGGAUUUGAACCCUGGUUUCCCAGUCUAACACUCUAACACUACACCACACAGGCUCUUUUUACUGUUCUUGCGUUGCCACCCUCCGGAUUUCUCUUGGAGGAGGCACACAAAGAAGGGCCUCAGAGGAUGAUCGCAGGGUCCAGGUCAGUUCAUAUGGGGAGAAGUGAUCCUUGAGAUGUUAAGUUGUGGGUGAACAUAUCAGACGACACAGCGACUCUUCAAACACCUCUUGUUUAUUCACAGGCCAGAACAGAACUGGGCAGAAGGGUUCAGCCAACCUGCUUAUAUAGAGCUCAACUACAAAGCAACAGUAACAACUUUCUGUAACUAUCCAAUCACUGAAUGUCACUUUCAAUUCCUUAUUUGCAUAUGUGGACCUGAGUGAAAACUAUCUACAGUAUCCCCUGCUGGCCCAGGGUGAGAACUUCAGUACAUAACAUGACAUAUUGUGGUCCUGAGCCAUUUAAGGUUUCAUAGGUCAAAACAAGCACUUUGAAUUGGGCCCAGAAACUAAUUGGUAGCUGGUGCAGUUGGGCUGGGAUUGAUGCAAUAUGCUCAAAUCGUCUUGCUCCUGUGAGCUACCUGGCUGCUGAAUUCUGCACCAGCUGAAGAUUUUUGCCUUCCCUUUCAAGCAUUUAGUCCCCAAUCCUGAGCUAUAAAUUUUGUUUAAAGACAGAAAUCUUUCAGACUCCUGGCCUGUAAAUGUUUGGGUAGCCUUGGAAAGUCUAAGAGGAACACCUGACUAAAGAGGACAACCGCAGUGCGAGGACAAACCAAACUCCCUUCCCUUUCAACACAGUUCUAAUUCUCUGAACAAUCCAGUGUUCACCCAUUAAUUUUUAGGUAAUGGAUGACUGGAACGGGUUUGAAGGUGCCUCGCUUUGCUAUAUUACAUUAAUAAAGCACAGCAAAGGGAUUCGUUUUUUUAUUGCUGAAAGGUUUCUCAAGAUAGAGGGCUUAUGUGCUUCAUCCUUAACAUAAAUUUCACUCUGUAUUACUCAUGAAUUACAGACAGCUUAAUGCCAAUCUGUCACACCCUGUAGGAGAAGCAAAUUCAUCGCAUCAAUAUAAUUGGGAAAGCUGUAAAUAAAAGCAGGGGGAGGCUGGAGAGAGGAAGUGCAUUGGUGAUGAAAGAAGGUGUAAAUGACAGGCCAUCCCAUUCAUGUCCUUCUCUCAUUGGGUGUGAAGCUUUACAAGAGAGUGUUUCAAUGGGAACAGACUUUCAGAUGGAAACCCAGGGCCCCACUCAACCAAAUGAGCAACACAGCCCCCAUAAUAAUAAUAAUAAUCCAUUAUUUAUACUCCACCCAACUGGCUGGGUUUUCCCAGUCACUCUGGGCGGCUCUCAACAGAAUAUUAAAAACACAAUAAAACAUCAAACAUUAAAAACUUCCCUAAACAGGGCUGUCUUCAGACGUCUUCUAAAAGUUGGAGAGUCGCUUAUUUCCUUGACACCUGAUGGGAGGGCAUUCCACAGGGCGGGUGCCACUACCGAGAAGGCCCUCUGCCUGGUUCCCUGUAGCUUUGCUUCUCGAGGUGAGGGAACCACCAGAAGGCCCUUGGCGCUGGACCUCAGGGUCCGGGAUGAAUGAUGGUGGUGGAGACGCUCCUUCAGGUAUACUGGGCCAAGGCCGUUUAGGGCAGGCAUAGGCAAACUUGGCCCUCCAUGUGUUUUGGGACUACAAUUCCCAUCAUCCCUGACCACUAGUCCUGUUAGCUAGGGAUCAUGGGAGUUGUAGUCCCAAAACAUCUGGAGGGCCAAGUUUGCCUGUGCCUGGUUUAGGGCUUUAAAGGUCAGCACCAACAAAUGCAACCAAAUUGGCUCCCCACAUGUUGAAGUAAGUGAAGUAACACAUAUCUGAAGGGACUUGAAAUGUGCUCUUUCUUCCUUUCUUUCUCCCCAGCCCUGGGGUGGGUGGGUGGAGCUGAUCUGGGGGAGAAAGAAAGUUGUGAAUAGAGGGGCACUCGCUCAAAUAUCCCAACAUGCCCGCAGGCCUAAAAUGGUUGGCAAUCCCAGAUGAAGUGCCAUUUCCAGAUGCAUUUCUUUAAUUUAAAGCCAGGAUAAGAACAUAAGAACUUGUCGGCUGCAAAAAAUGCAAAUUUAAUCAUCAGUGUUCAGAAGCCUGGGCCUCAGAUUGUUAGCUUAAAUUUAAAAACCACCGCUAUUUUCAAAUAUAUAGCUUCAAGUGGACAGAUGAUUUAAUCCAAACACAUGCAAAAGGGAGCUUGUACCCAGCCAUUCUCUGAAUUUAUUUCAGAGCUGGCAUUUCAUAUACAACCUACUCUGCGCUCUUAUUAACCAGCUAUAAAUAAAACAUUAAAAAAUCCUCUCCGCUUUGGCAAUUUCUUGCCGUCCAUCAACUCUCGCCUGUGAUGUUAUUAAAAUCCAUUUUGAAACAAAACAGACACGGCACUUGGGUGUUCCAUUGACACUCCCACCUCACAGGAACAACUUCUAUUCUCAGUGGUAUUAAUUACUCAGUUCUCACUCUCCGCAUUCACAGCUUCUAUUUUCAAUCAUGAAAGAAACUUUCCCUGGUCUAAUCAACCAAUGGCAAUUCUGCUAGGGCUGGCCGUGGUGGUGGUGGUGGGGAGAUAAACUUUCAGCAUCCUAGGAAAGGAAUAUAGGAAGCUGGCUUAAACUGAGCCAAAUAAUUGGUCCACGUAGCUCACAAAUGUCUACACUGACUGGCAGUGGCUCCACAGGGUUUCAGGUAGGGAUUAUAAUAUUAUAAAACACAACAUCCUCAAAUAAUAAUUUGCCACAUAGAUAUAUCCAGCAAAGUAUCAAAGUGGAUAACUAAUGUACAGCGCAAACAUGAAAAAGGAAGAUUUAAAAAAGUUCCAAGAGAUUGUUUAAAAAACAAAACAAAACUCUCCACCUGGCACCUAAAUAGAUCACUCAGGACAUAUACGCCCUUGGCCCAGUAUACCUGAAGGAGCGUCUCCACCCCCAUCAUUCUGCCCGGACACUGAGGUCCAGCUCCGAGGGCCUUCUGGUGGUUCCCCCCACUGCGAGAAGUGAGGUUACAGGGAACCAGGCAGAGGGCCUUCUUGGUAGUGGCGCCCGCCCUGUGGAACGCCCUCCCAUCAGAUGUCAAGGAAAUAAGCGACUCUCUGAAUUUUAGAAGACAUCUGAAGGCAGCCCUGUUUAGGGAAGUUUUUAAUGUUUGAAGUUUUAUCAUGUUUUUAAUAUUCUGUUGGGAGCCAGCCAGAGUGGGUGGGGAAACCCAGCCAGAUGGGUGGGGUAUAGAUAAUAAAUUAUCCUUAUCCCACAACUGUAUGACCUGUUGUUACUGCUAUCCAGAAGUGCAGUGGUUCUGGGUCAAAUAUCUGUUACUAUUUCUGCAGAAAGGUCCCUGUCUCCACCUUCGUAGAGCUGCCCAAUCAGCAUGAAAUGGGAUCUUUUCAGACACGGAGAAUAAUUCUUCUGGCCAUUUGUGUUGGUUGGAGCCAAGAGGGGUGAAAGGAGGUGAGUCAGCCAUUGAGGAUUGUCUCCUAGAUUGUCACUCUGGGGAAGAUGCACAAGAAAAACACUGAGGAGUUGUUCAGAUGCUGAGCCACAGCCGAUCUCCUAGAUUUCUCCUUCCAGGAAGCUGCAAAACCUUCCGGCUCACCUGCUAGCUUCACUGCUUAUGCCAGGGGUCCUCAAACUAUGGUCCACUGGCCAGAUCCAGCUGCCAGGGUCCUGAACCCGGCCUGUCCGCCGCCGCCGCCUCCACCCUUCCCUUUCCCGCCCUCCCGUCUUAAGCAAAGAGUUCACAACGCUGGCCUUGGCGAGCAUCCUAUAAGAAGCACUCCUCGCGCCCCUGGCUGAGGAAGAAGGCAGCAGCCAAGACUUCCGGUCUACUGCAGAGGCUAUGGCGGCGGGCUUUGUGUCGUCAGAGUAAAGGACGACACAGGUCCGGCAAUUUAGGGGUUGAGGGUGCUGCCAGAGUGGGGACCCUGGCCAAGGAAGAAGGCAGCAGCCCCACUGCUUCCACCUCCAGCUUAGCACUCGCUUGGUGCUGGUGCUGGCGCCGCUCUUCCUCGCCAGCAGGAGUCACUCUUUCCCACUUCCUUUGGUCUCAGUGGUGGCAACAGCAGGGAGGGUCCAACUGGGAGAUCAAGCGGCGUGGGUAUUUUAAAGUUGGUUCCUCUCCCUGCCUCUCUCUUUGCCAGGGCGUUCCUCAAACCCCAGGAUCAGCAAGAGUACCAGAGCUCUGUGCAGCAGGCGAAGGUCGCACCCUGGACUUUUGUGCGUGCCCAGGAAAUCAGCGAGCGAGGUUUUUGUUUUUUUAUGUGUCUGGGUUUUUUCUCCCCUGAGGUGGGGAAAUUUCUGCUGCCAAGGUGCGACUCUUCCUCAGUGUACACCCCACGCGCCGCUCUUUGGCAUUGCUAAGGCCGCUUUCUGGAAAGCAAGUACGUUUCCGAGCACAAUUCAAAGUGCUGGUGUUGACCUUUAAAGCCCUAAACGGCCCCGGCCCAGUAUACCUGAAGGAGCGUCUCCACCCCCAUCGUUCUGCCCGGACGCUGAGGUCCAGCGCCGAGGGCCUUCUGGCGGUUCCCUCAUUGUGGAAGCAAAGCUACAGGGAACCAGGCAGAGGGCCUUCUCGGUAGUGGCGCCCACCCUGUGGAACGCCCUCCCAUCAGAUGUCAAAGCGAUAAAUAACUACCUGACAUUUAGAAGACAUCUUAAGGCAGCCCUGUUCAGGGAAGUUUUUAAUCUGUGAUAUUUUACUGUAUUUUUUGUCUUUGUUGGAAGCUGCCCAGAGUGGCUGGGGAAACCCAGCCAGAUGUGCGGGGUACAAAUAAUAAAUUAUUAUUAUUAUUAUUAUUAUUAUUAUUAUUAUUAUUAUUAUUAUUAUUAUAUUCUAAAGCUCUCUCUGCCCUCCCAUUGAGGAGGAAGGACCUUCGUAAUAAAUGGGAAAUGACUGCAGUGUUGGCAAAAGUCUUGACAGUGCUGCUAAGAUAAAAGCACUAGCUUUCUUUUCUUUUAAAAUAAAGGCAAGGGACAUGAGCGCAGAUGUAGGAGCUCAUCUGUGUUUAUUAUCCCUGACUAGGUUUGGAAACCGUUGUUUCUGUCGUACUUCUGAGCUGCAGAAGUUUAUAAUGCAACUUGCAAAGAGAAAUGCACAAUGUUAUCAAUAUCAAUGUUAUCAAUAUAAAUGGAAGAAGCUACAUUAGUGUUGCUCAUAUGGUAUUGUCGUGGUGUUUACUUUUGGGGUGAUUGUGAAGUGGAUUUCUUAAUGUUUGAGGUAGCGUUUAAUGUUUUAAGCCUUGCAUCACUUGCUACGACUAGCAGUGACAAAUAUGGAACCGGAUAUUGACCAUCUCAUUAGCCAAAAGCAGGCCCAUAAUUCCCAUUGAAAUACUUAUAAGUUUAUGUUGAUUAAAACUGUUCUUCAUUUUAAAUAUUGUGUUGUUUUUCCUGUUAUUUUGUGCACUACAAAUAAAAGAUGUGCAGUAUGCAUAGGAAUUUGUUCAUAUUUUUUUCAAACUAUAGUCCGGCCCCCAACAGUGUCUGAGGGACAGUGAACUGGCCCCUUGUUUAAAAAGUCUGAGGAUCCCUGGCUUAGGCCAACCAUUUGUUUCCCCUCAGCUUUCAUCUCAAGCUGAGUCUGAGGGUGUCUUCACCACCAGCUCAUUAAAGAAACAUCUUCCAGCUAUUAGGAGCCAUUGACUGAGCAUCAGCUGCCCAUUGGCAAGCAAUCACAUUGAACAAAAGGGAGAUCCGCCUCACCACUUGAUGAGAUGGUAUUUUCAAAAGGGGGAAGAGAGGUAUUGUCAAGACCGUGGAGAAUAUCUAAUAGUGUUUGUCUUUUUUACUUUACACAAAAUGAGCCUCUAGUGCAAGGAAAUGUUGAUUACUUAUUGCUCUUUGAAGGCUGUUCGGCUAAUUUUAUUUAAAUGACUACCCACUGCCAGGCUCCAUUAAUGGAUUUUAUUGAUAUUUUUUGUGUGUUCUAUUUUACCCCAAAGUCAACUUUGCAGAAGCAUUAUAUGAAUCAGCUAUCUGCAAUGCGUGUGUGUUUUACAAUUACUAAUUUGUUGGGGGUUUUUUAUAAGAUAUUUAUUAAGAUUUUCAAAAUAUUACAAAAUAAAAAUAAAAAAAAUAAAAACACAAAAAAUAAAAAUAGUUAAAAACAACUCAAUCUUUCCAUUACUUAUUUUUCAUUAGCUUGUUUCCCGGACCUCCUCACGCCUCCCUUUUUUGUAUUCCAGUUCGGUUUGUUGGUUCAGCAAAUCCUUCCCCUCUUUGUCUAUCCUAAUCAUUAAUCUUAAAAUAUUGUAACAUUAAAUUUUUACCUGUUAGUAAUCCAUUUUUCAUAUUCCCUUAUAGUAUUGCAGCUAAAAACCACUUAAUUUCUAUCCAACAUCAUUCUAACAUUCAUUAAUUUUACAAUAUUUCUGUAAAUAGUCUUUAAAUUUCUUCCAAUCUUCUUCCACCGACUCUUCUCCCUGGUCCCGGAUUCUGCCAGUCAUUUCCGCCAGUUCCAUAUAGUCAAUCACCUUCAUCUGCCAUUCUUCCAGAGUGGGUAGAUCUUGGGUCUUCCAAUACUUUGCAAUGAGUAUUCUUGCUGCUGUUGUAGCAUACAUAAAGAAAGUUCUAUCCUUCUUUGGCACCAAUUGGCCGACUAUGCCCAGGAGAAAGGCCUCUGGUUUCUUCAAGAAGGUAUAUUUAAAUACUUUUUUCAAUUCAUUAUAGAUCAUCUCCCAGAAAGCCUUAAUCCUUGGGCACGUCCACCAAAGGUUACAAUUACUAAUUUGUUGCAGAUGUUCAGAGUCACAACCUCUAUAAUAAUACCUAGUGUUAUGGGGCCACUACCUUUUUAAAGGUAGUGGCUUUAUCCCGAUGUAUAUAUUUUUAUAUGCAAUUUUGCCUAAUAUGACGAAUGUUGGGAUGCUAUUUUCACCAAUGUAUGCAUUCUUUACACUAGUACAUUCAUUUUGUAGAUAUUACUAUACAUGUGUUUGCGUGCUAUUUUUCUUUAUAUCCAUAUUUUUGCAAAGUGGUUUCCUCUGACACAAUGCAUUUUUGUUCAUUAUUUUGAGGAAAUGGUCUGUUUUUAUGCAUAUUUGACCCAAAUACAUGCACUUUUGGACACAUUCCUUGACUGGAGAACUGGAUCGCAAAAUUCAGAGAAGUGUGAAUUUCAAAAGAUGGCUGUUUUGAGGUUUGUUCACUGUUUCAGAAAGAGUGAACAAGGUAAGUUCAGGUUUAAAUGUGAACCGAAUCGAAUUCCUCCCUCAUCCCCACUAACAGAAGAAGAGGUCAAUCAGAGCAUACUUUGCCUAGGGACUUCCCCACAGGCUUUCAAUUGCUCUGAGAGGUCCUGCAUACAUGUGGAACAUACUAAGAAGAGUCUCCCAGAUCACGCCAAUGGGCCAUUUGAUCAAGCAUCUGUCAUUGAAUUCUACUCAAUAUUGAUCCAGAGUAGAUGCCAAUGUACAGUGGUACCUCAGGUUACAGACACUUCAGGUUACAGACGCUUCAGGUUACAGACUCCGCUAACCCCGAAAUAGUACCUCGCGUUAAGAACUUUGCUUCAGAAUGAGAACAGAAAUUGUGCUCUGGUGGCGUGGCGGCAGCAGGAGGCCCCAUUAGCUAAAGUGGUGCUUCAGGAUAAGAACAGUUUCAGGUUAAGAACGGACCUCCGGAACGAAGUAAGUACUUGACCCGAGGUACCACUGUAUAGUAAAAACUUAAACAUGUUGCAGGAUUCCCAAAAAAUAGACCAGAGGCAAUUACAGUGGACACUCAGGUUGCAAACAUGAUCUGUGCAGGAGGCAUGUUCACAACCCGCAGCGUUUGCAACCCGCAGCACCGCGUCUGCACAGGUUGCAAUUCGGCUCUUCUGCGCAUGUGUGACUGCUGAAACCCGGAAGUAACCCGUUCCGGUACUUCUGGGUUUCGGCGGGUCCAUAACCCAAAAAAACGCAAGCUGGAGCAUCUGGAACCCGAGGUAUGACUGUAUAUUUCAUCCAGCAGAGCUUUUCUGCUACUGAAAGGAGAGACGCUUGGCUCGAGUGCGCUACAGACCUCGCGGUAAGUGCCGCCUGGCAUUUUGUCACCCCCUUCAGUGGUGACACCCAGGGCAGCCGGCACCCACCGCACCCCCUUCCUCCGCCCCUGCCAGAAGAGAAAGUGAAACCUAGGCUCCUUCUGGCCUUGUGCUGGUCCCAGGGGGUUACCGUGCGGCGUGGUCCAAGUCCAGUCUGAGGUCGAGGGUAUGGUAUGGGGGUUGUCCAUCAAGGCUGAAGUGGGGUCCAAGGCAAGGAGUCAGGGGUGGUCAGGAACUCUGGCAGAAGAGCAGGACAGGGUGCCGGCAGGAACAGGUUACCAACAAUGUUGCUCCCGCAACCUGGGACUGGGCUGGCUGGCUUUUAUCUGCCCCGAGGCAUAGGGCAUCCUGGUCCACAGGUGACUCGCCUCUCCUGGCCUGGAGGCAAGCACUCCUCCUGUAAGAAUUUAGUUCCCUCUGCCUCUCUGCCCUGAGCCUCUGCAGCUCAGGAGAGGCUGGAGGGUUACUGGACCCAGAGGCAACCUCACCUUCCCCUGACGGGGCUGAGAGUGGAGCACCUGCAGGCAAUGGGUCCUCCAUCACCUCAGGAGCCAGAGCAGACUCAGCUGGUGUCUGUUCCUGAGGAUCCGGCACAGGUGAGGGCCCUUCAGGUUCAAGCCCCAGCCCCAGCUCAACUGGUUCUGGAGGCAGGGAAUCCUGUGCGGGCUGGGAUUCCUCAGGUUCAGCCUCUGAAUCCAAUUCCCAGGCCAUCACAGGCCUCUUUUUAUAGUCAGCUUGACCUUGACAGACGAGAUAAGAGAACCAAUUUAAGCCAGCUGUACUCAGCUUCUCUGAAGGAAUAACCUGAACAUCACGAACGUUUUGCUCGUUUCUUUCACACAGAGAAGCUUCCAGAAGCUUCCAAAACCUUCUUGAAUUAAUUAGAAUAGGAAAGAUCUCUACACAUCAGAUCAAUACUUUCUGCACUAAGAAAUGCAAACUGACAGCAUCCUGUUCUUACAGUGGCCAACCAGAUGCACCAAUGGGAAGCUUGCAAGCAGGACAUGAUUAUGAGAGCACUUGCCCCUCCGGUAGUUUCUGGCAAAUGGGAUUCAGAGGCACUGCUGCCUCCCACCGUGGAGUGAGAACAAAACCGUUGUGGCUAGUAGCCACAGAUAGCCUUCUCCUCCAUGAUUUUGUCUAAUCCUCUUUUAAAACCAUCCAUGGAUGGUUUCUAAUGCUCCAAGCUGGAGGAGGAACACCAAAUGGAUGCUUCCUUGCACCAGCUUUAACAUCCUCGAAACAUAAUUGAUUAAUCCUCCUUCACGUUACUUUGUUUUCAUUAUAGAGCAAUUCAAGCAAGCCGUAAUAACCAGAGUACAAUACCUUGUGUGAGUCAACCAAGCGGCACAUUCAAAGUUGAAAGAUAUGCUAAUGACCCACUUGAGGAGGAGAGAAUUUGUUCUUCUGAAAACUUUUUUUUUCCUUCUCCAGCUACAAAAAAACAAAAACAAAAAUAUCUUCUUGGUGCAAUAAACAUUUGUCAACAAGAAGAUGCCUAGGGAAAUUGCACGGCUCUAACAUUAACCGAAUUAGAUGUGUGUUUGUUUGUUUGUUUGUUUGUUUUGUAAAAUGCGAAACAAGUAGCAGACCUGCCUAAUUAACCAUUUUGCAAACAACCGAUAAAGAAAAGAUUGGGACUCGUUGGAAACUCUGCCUUUUUAAAGGAUAAAUAAGACAAUGGAAAUAACACCGAUUAGGAAGGGAUCAAAAGUAAACACUCCAGAAUAUUAAAAGGUCUUGAGCAUGUGGCUCUGAGCAGCAAAGAGUUGCGGCGAAGAGACUUCAUAAGAAUGUAAGGGGAGCUUGCUGGAUCAGAUGAAAAGGUCCAUGUAGCCAUUAAUUAGCCUUACCCCCCAUGAAUUUAUCUAUGAGGACAUAAGAAAUCACCAUCCUUUUAUCAACUAUUGUUCAAACACUGCCCCAUCAUCUUGGCCUGUCUACUAGUUACCUCCCCCUUUAGCUGCUUGAGAAGAGCAGGGCGACUGUGGCGAAUCCCAGAAGAUGCCAAUUCUCUAGACUCAGUUUGAAGCCUGGUUUUAGUACCAAAUGGGUCUCAGCAGCCUUGAUAGAUGACUUUUAAAAAGAAAGAGGUAAGCGGAAGUCCAGUCCUGCUUCUUCUGCUUGAUCUUUCUGUGGCUUUUGAUACCUUCACCCAGGACCAUGCUGAACUUCCCUGGAGCCCGGGGAGGGAGUCUUGCUAAAUUAAAGUUAUAAACUCAAACCAAAGAAGGAGCAGAUCCCUGGCAGGGCCUCCGAGGCCCAGGGCAAGUAUACCCAGCUCCCCCUUCUACACAGGUCUUCCUAUGACCAUGAUUAAUUGCUUAAUUGCUUGUUCUGGAUGAUGUUGCAGGAGCAAGUACAUGGCCUUAGGGUGUUCCUGGAGUCAUCUCUGUCAUUCUCCAAAUGAUCACAGUGGCUGGGAGCACUGUUUAGCAGCUACAGUUAGCAUGGUAGCUGCAGCCAUUCCUGGACAAGGGAUCACAUAGCCUCAGUGGCCCAGAUUGAUUACUGCAAUGUGCUAUAUUUGGGGCUGCCAUUGAGGCUUGUCCAGAAGCUUCAGCUAGUGUAGAAACAGAAGCCAAACUUGAGAAGCUGGUCACCAUAUAACACCACUGCUGAGCAGUGGAGGCCGGACCAUUAGGGUGAAUGGGACACACACACACACACACACGCACCGCCAACUUCAUCCAACCUCAGCCUCAUGCUUCAUAUCAGUCAACUGCCCUGGAAAAACAGGGCAUCUCAUUUUUUUUCCAUGAGAGGACAGCAGUCAAAAAGGCCCUUACGAUUUCGGGCUGCACUUUUUUCAGGCGUGAUGCCCCAAAACACACAUUUUGGGGUGCCCAGUCGUCUGCUCUAUAACUACCCAGGGCAGGUUUUUUUUUAAAAAAAAGAAUUUUGCUGUGCCCGUUUUGAGAACUUCCUUCCAUUUGGACAUCCAGCAAGCAACUAUAGCACUAGGCUUUAGAACAGGGGUGUGGAACCAUUAUUUUCUUUUUGAGGGCCUCAUUCCCUUCUGGGCAAUGUUCCAGGGGCCAGUGAGCAGUGCUUUUUUUCUGGGGAGAUGCAGGGGUACACAUACCCCUAAACAUUUUGUGAAUCUAAAGGGAGAAGAAACUAAAAAAAAAAAAAGAAUUUAGUUUCUCCUCUAGCAUGGUGAAUCGUCAGUUCCGUUGCUACCUCAUUUCCUGUCACAGUGUUCCCUGAGUCUCAGACGGAAGCGAGCGUUUAAUGAGAGUGCCCCUAAACAUUUUUCUUUUAGAAAAAAAAGCACUGCCAGUGGGGAUGAGUAGGGUCUGAAGCAGCAGCAUGCAGAACAAUGAAUGCCAAUUUUAACUUGUACGACAGGCUAAUUUCUACACACACUCGCACACCCCUCUCUGUCCUCCAUACAGGCUUGCAAGAGGCACAAGCCACAUUCAAGGGCACAUUCCAGCCAGGCAAAAACACCUAAGGAGGCUGCAGCCCAGGGACAGCAGGUUGGUGUGGCCUGGGGAGAGCCUUGAGAGUCAGGCAGAGAGGCUUAGAGGCCCGAGGCUCCCCUCGGGAGAGCCAGUGUGGUGUAGUGGUUAAGAGCAGUAGACUCGUAAUCUGGGGAACCGGGUUCGCUUCCCCGCUCCUCCACAUGCAGCUGCUGGUGACCUUGGGCUAGUCACACUUCUCUGAAGUCUCUCAGCCUCACUCACCUCACAGAGUGUUUGUUGUGGGGGAGGAAGGGAAAGGAGAUUGUGAGCCACUUUGAGACUCCUUCGGGUAGUGAUAAAGCGGAAUAUCAAAUCCAAACUCUUCUUCUUCUUCCUCACCAGCUUCAUCUGCUUUCUUACAACCUUCUCCUGCAUGCAGAUGUUCCCUGCUGUGUGAUCCAGCCAUGCCUCCUUUGCUAUUGAAACACUACACUGUUUUCCUGCCCACCACAAGCCCCCACCCUCCUGUUACAAAAUCAAUUCCUUCUCAGCCCUGCGAAUUGGUUUCCCAGCCUGUGCGUUGCCUGUUUGCAUGCUUCAGCACAUGACAAACUGCCCGGAGCGUCUUGUGAUAACAUCCUAGGUGCCAAAAAAAAAAAACCCCAGUCAUUGCGAGCCUGAAGAUCUCUUUAUCUCCAAGAUGAUUUGUAUAUUGUGUUUCGUCCUUGCACAUACAAAUGGCCGCUUUUCUCCCCGUUUGCAUUUCCUAUCCUCGCCGCAAGGUCAUCACACCAUUAUCAGGCCCCGUCCCAUGAUAACGCAGUCGGCAAGGCUUUCCAUCCAUCCUUCCAUACAGAUUAGGGAGUGGGGGACAUGUGUCAUUUGGGAACGUAAUUCAAUACAAAGGGGAGUGCCUACGCUACGUUAUCUUGACGUGUGGUGUUUUUAAGCCGCAGUCUUUGAUUCGGAUCGCUGCCUUUAUCAUAGCACUGUGCCUUUGCUCCUUUGCAUAAGGCACCACCUCAUCCAAGCCAUAGCAAACUCACUUCCUAAUACUUUAGUAACUAUCAAUACAGAUGGAAAGUAAUACUAAAAGUAGGGGAGGGCUGGACACUAUAGUGUCCAAGCACAAUUCAAAGUUUUGGUGCUGACCUUUAAAUCCCUAAACGGCCUCGGUCCAGUAUACCUGAAGGAGUGUCUCCACCUCCAUCAUUCAGCUGAGACACUGAGGUCCAGCGCCGAGGGCCUUCUGGCGGUUCCCUCGCUGCAAGAAGCCAAGUUACAGGGAACCAGGCAGAGGGCCUUCUCGGUAGUGGCACCCGCCCUAUGGAAUGCCCUCCCACCAGAUGUCAAAGAGAAAAACAACUACCACACUUUUAGAAGACAUCUGAAGGAAGCCCUGUUUAGGGAAGCUUUUAAUGUUUAAUAGACUAUUGUAUUUUAAUAUUCUGUUGGAAGCCGCCCAGAGUGGCUGGGGAAACCCAGCCAGAUGGGCGGGAUAUAAAUAAUAAAUUAUUAUUAUUAUUAUGGAGCGAUUUGAAUAUGGUGCAAUGGGAGAAAGGGCGGAAAGGAACAAAUCAGGGAUAGCUGGCAGGGGGUGGGUUGCCUUCCCUGCCCCAAGCAUCCCAAAAUGGUUUACCUUAAAACCAAGUAAGGACCUCUAAUAAACAUCUAAAAACAUAGCUGUACAGCUAAAAGGCAGGACUUACAGAUUCAAACCAAUUAAAGUGGUCUCAUCAUUGGCACCCUUCAAAUUAAGAGCCAUAAGCCCAGUCAAAACACAAAAUUAUUGUUUGACUCCUAAAAACAGAUGAAGAUGGCACCCAGGCAUCAGGGGUGUCAGUUCUAUGGCGCCAAUGUGUUUUUGGCUCCUCCCAAAUCUGUUGGUAGGGAGACGGGGCCCCUCAAUGUUGAGUGGGUGGAGGAAGCCGUGCGUGGAACCAAGCAUAAUGUGGCUUCAGUGUUCGGCUCCUCCUGAGUGCAAGAGAGGAGAUGCCUCUGCUGUACGUGCCUCUCUGGGGAAAGCAUUCAACAAGCAGGGGCCACCACUGAAAAGGCCCCAUCUUGUGUUGCCACCCUCCAAACCUCCCAUGGAGGGGGCAUAUGAAGAAGGGCCUCAGAUGACAAUCAUAUGGUCUGGGUUGGUCGUGAGGGGCGGUUCUUGAAGUACUGGGGUCCUGAGCAACAGAAAAGCUUCACAGGCCAAAACCAACCCUUUGAAUAAAGAAGAGACCUACUGGAUCAGGCCAAUGGCCCAUCUAGUCCAGCAUCCUGUUCUCACAGUGGCCAACCAGAUGCUAGGGGUUUCCUAUGGACAUCUGGUUGGCUAUCGUGAGAACAGAACAUUGGAUUAGAUGAGCCAUUGGCCUCUUCUUACAUUAACUGAGUCCUUUGCACUCUAGACUUCACUGAAAGCCCUGUUGCAGUGUCCUUUGCACAACAAAAAGCAGCAGAGCAGUACCUUGUGACAAAAUAACAGUGAUUUAUUUUUAUAUCCUUGGAGCUUCAGAAGUUCUGGUUCAAGGAUAUAUUUCAAUGCCCAUCUUGUUGCUUCGGCAAUUAUGAUUUUGGUUGUUGGCACCCGUCCGUCUCGAGAGACACUGGAACGGUGCCUCCAGGGAUGAAGUGAAACUGCUGUGAUAGCAGCACCGAAAUCACCUCCCCAGAGCGCAGGCCUGGGCAUUGUGUAUGGAGAUUCUGGGCUGCCCCGGUGACAAGAUCGUCCCCCCUGCCCCAGUCAGCCUCUCUGAUGUGAUCCAAAGGAAAGCAGAGCAAUACGUUUGGCACCAGCUUGGCUGCAGGAGUUGCUGGAAGAAGGCAUACAAGGCCCCAUCCAACAGCCUUCUUAGGGACUCCACUCUGUAUUUCUGUAGGGCUUACUCUUCUCCCAAAGAUAUCCCACAAGGCAGCAGAGGUUGAAGAUCAGCACUUUCAGUCUUUCUCCUAGAUGGGCUACCUUCCCAGGUGUUGACAAGUAAGUCCCAUCUGCUCCUCAUUUCCCUCUACAGCACAUGCAGAAACCGCCUUCUUCCAUGUUGGACCCAUAUUGGUCUUAACUUCUCAAUCUGCUGGAGCUUGUCUUCACAUACAGGGGAAGUCCCUAACUUACCAAGGGUUUGAGAUCCCCAUUGGCUACCCUCACCAGGUUUAGCCAAUCAGUCGAAGCCAUUCCCAGAGGGGUGGCCGCUGUCGCAUGCUGACAGGUGACUAGGAGCUACAGGUGAGAGCUGGUUGCAGCUACAGGUGACUAGGAGCUACAGGUGAGAGCCGGUUGCAGGGUGGAGAACCAAAGAUGGACAAACUACCCCAGAAAGAGCAUGACGUGUGUCCACCGCUAGAGGUACUACCCCUCCUCUAACAACCCAUAAUAAUAACAAUCCCCGAAGCAACAGGUCCCUUGGAACAUGCCCUUCCUGUUUGAAGCACCCCAGCUGGGUUUGAAUUAGAACUUUUUGACUCUCCAGGGAUGCCUUGGAAUAAUCAGGCAUUGUGAUUUGCACAAUGGUCACAAUAGCCUUUCAUUUCCCAGAGAUGGGUGGGAAGGGCUUUGAAUGUCCCCGGCAUUUCACGUCAAACAGCGUGUAGCGCUGCUCUCUUUCAAAACAUUCCCAUUAUCAAAGAAUCUAUCCGCAUGUCACCCUAUUAGACCGCAUUGUGGCUCUAAUUUCCUAACAUUUUAAUGCUUCCAGGUGUUGGACUGAAAUAACUAAUCUCAUUUUUCUGCCUGCUAAUGAUAGACAUUUAGUCCCUUUUUCGGUUUCUGCUUUUUCUUUCUUUUCCCCCCAAAAAGGGGGUGGGUGGGUUGGGGGGAAACGGAGACUCAGAUUAUCAGCAAAUAAAAGACAGCAAUUCAAGCACAGAGCCAGCCAUCAUUAAGCCUUAGAUUAUCUCCUGCCCCCGCUGCUGCGCACGGUGAGAUCCCGACAUUUUUUAUUGUUAUUUCCACAAUAUGAGCUUCUUUGAAGCAAACGGGGAGCAAGAGCCGAUAAAACAAUAAGAUGCAUGGCUUUUAUGUAAUCCCGCUCCCACUGAACCCCGGUGACAAAUGUCCUAUUGGCAAGACUGUAAUUCAGAGCCACUAAAAAUUAAUAGGACUGCUGGUGUCAGAGAAAAGUUCAGAGCCAAAAGUGCAUCCAGACCUGGAAGAAGAAUGAAAGAAAUGGGGGGGACGGGACACCAGCAGCAGGGGAAACCACUCAUAAUUUGAGGGCAGGCUACAUAUAUAUUGGGACGCGGGUGGCACUGUGGGUUAAACCACAGAGCCUAGCACUUGCCGAUCACAAGGUUGGUGAUUUGAAUCCCUGCGACAGGGUGAGCUCCCGUUGCUUGGUCCCAGCUCCUGCCAACCUAGCAGUUCGAAAGCACACCAGUGCAAGUAGAUAAAUACGUACCGCUCCAGUGGGAAGGUAAACAGCGUUUCUGUGCGCUGCUCUGGUUCACCAGAAGCGGCUUAGUCAUGCUGGUCACAUGAUCCGGAAGCUGUACGCCGGCUCCCUCGGCCAAUAAAGCAAGAUGAGCGCCGCAACCCCAGAGUCAGUCACGACUGGACCUAAUGGUCA